rnacentral:lncRNA from 1 species
AGGGAUAUUAUAUGUCCUCUGCAAGGGAGCUCAUAAGAAUUAAUGGAACGACUAAAGCUCCCGUUAUGAAUUAUGCAGCCGAGACAUCGCUUGGAGUGGUCACCAUAAGAGCUUUUAACAUGGUGGAUAGGUUCUUUAGAAAUAACCUGAAGCUUGUUGACACAGAUGCCACACUUUUCUUUCUUUCUAAUGCAGCCAUGGAAUGGCUAGUUCUACGGAUUGAAACACUUCAAAACCUUACUCUAUUCACUGCUGCAUUUUUCCUGCUUCUGCUUCCCAAAAACCAAGUCACCCCCGGUAUAUUAUAAUUUGUACUGAAUAAUCUUCUUGACAUGUAGAGAAUGUUCAAGUCCAUUAAUCUCGAAAAUUUCUAACUGCAGGGCUUGUUGGGCUCUCUCUUUCUUACGCUUUAUCACUGACCGGUACGCAAAUUUUUGCAUCCCGUUGGUACUGCAGCUUAUGGAACUACAUGAUUUCGGUUGAAAGGAUAAAACAAUUCAUGCACAUACCUGAAGAACCUCCAGCAAUUAUAGAAGACAACAGGCCCCCAUCUUCAUGGCCCUCUAAGGGUAGGAUUGAAUUGCAAGAACUGAAGGUNNNNNNNNNNNNNNNNNNNNNNNNNNNNNNNNNNNNNNNNNNNNNNNNNNNNNNNNNNNNNNNNNNNNNNNNNNNNNNNNNNNNNNNNNNNNNNNNNNNNGAAUCUAAACUGGAAAAUGGUUUGAAGGGUGCUGAAAGUGUGAUGAACUUGUUUUCUUUGAACCAAAUCUAUGUCUUAAUUCAUGUUAUUUGAUUCAAUGCUUUGUUUAGAUAAGAUAUAGCUCGAAUGCUCCUUUAGUUCUCAAAGGAAUCACUUGCACUUUCCAAGAAGGGACCAGAGUAGGAGUUGUUGGACGGACUGGAAGUGGAAAAACUACGCUCAUAAGCACCUCGUUUCGCCUAGUAGAACCUGCAAGUGGGAAAAUUCUUAUAGAUGGACUUGAUAUAUGCUCUAUGGGACUGAAAGAUUUGAGAAUGAAGCUUAGCAUNNNNNNNNNNNNNNNNNNNNNNNNNNNNNNNNNNNNNNNNNNNNNNNNNNNNNNNNNNNNNNNNNNNNNNNNNNNNNNNNNNNNNNNNNNNNNNNNNNNNAUUCCUCAAGAGCCAACUCUAUUUAGAGGCAGCAUUCGAACUAACUUAGACCCCCUAGGCCUCUAUUCAGAUGAUGAAAUAUGGAAGGUGAACCAACUAAUCAUGAAUAUUAACAUAAAAAAAUUUCCAAAAAUGAGCUUUUGGAACUUACCUUUGUAUUCCCGUGGCAGGCUUUGGAGAAGUGUCAACUUAAAACAACAAUCAGUUCGCUGCCAAACAAGCUAGAUUCAUCUGGUGAGUUGAAUUUUAGUGACUAUGUACUAAAUUCCUUGUGAUAGACUAUCUUUUCUCGGUUAACUGGAUCAAACAUGGUUGUUCUGCCACUGUUGUUGGAUUGACAGUGAGUGAUGAAGGUGAGAAUUGGAGUGUGGGGCAGCGACAACUCUUUUGCCUUGGAAGAGUUCUCUUGAAACGGAACCGAAUCCUAGUGCUGGAUGAAGCCACUGCUUCCAUAGACUCUGCAACCGAUGCCAUUUUACAAAGAAUUAUAAGAGAAGAGUUCUCGAAUUGCACCGUCAUAACAGUGGCUCAUAGAGUUCCAACUGUUAUAGACAGUGACAUGGUCAUGGUCCUCUCCUAUGGUAAAGCUCUUCUUUCCUAAUACUAAUAUCAAUCAAUUUAUCCAAGUUAUAAUCACAUUACUGCAGCAUGUAUUUCAGAUCCCUGCAACUCUUUCUCAUAUUAAGAGACUGCAACCAAUUAAAUAUAUCCAAUGUUGAUUGAUUAUUAUAUGAGCAGGUAAAUUGCUGGAGUAUGAUGAGCCUUCAAACCUUAUGGCAACAAACUCUUCCUUUUCUAAGCUAGUAGCUGAAUAUUGGUCAAGUUGCAGGAGAAAUUCAUAUCAAAAUUUUAGCAGUUAUCAAUGACUAGAACGAAUAUUGGCAUGAAAAUGAGAUCAAACAUUUAGUGUUAUUAUCUUGAAUAGAAAGUUUUUGAAGACUUCCAAAUUCCAAGAGUUGUUCUUAUUGAUCUAUGGGAAGGUAGAUAAUGAAUGAUAAUUUGUAGGGAUUCAAGCUCUUUGUACCCAUUAUUUCCAUAUGAAUAAAGGAAAACUAUAAUAAGUUUCUCAUAUAUACUCGUAUAUAUUAAUCAUUUUAUACAAUGAUAGAGAAAUAUUUUUAAACUCGUAAAUAGGUCAAAGUUCUAUGAUUUUACUGAUCCCAUUUAUAAAAUAUAAAAGCUGAGUAAUUAUCUUAAUGCACUUCCAACAAACUACUAGCUCAAUUUCCAUAUCCUUUUUAACAAACAUUAUUUCCCAAAUCAAUGAAUUUAGUUGUGAAGAGAAUAUAUAAUUGCAAAUGGUGCUUGGAGUAGUGCCACGAGCAAUGUUACUGGGUGUAGAACUUUGAUAUAACAAAGAUUAACACAAGGAUGUUUAUACAGUUCGUUUUUGUUAACCAUACUCACCGGUUUAGUAAUCUCAUUUUUUCAUCAAAAAAUUUAGAUUACUCUUCUCUAAGUUUUACAUAUUUAACAAUCUCACUUUUACUUCUAAAAUUCUAAAUCAUUCUUCUCUAAGUUUUAUCACUCUCCUUCAAGUUUUCCUCCCCUAAAAGUUACCGGUUUAACAACCUUACUUUUGCCCUUACCUAAAGAGUUCCCCCCACCCUUAAAAUAGUUUAACCUAGAAAUCUAUAUCACUAUUCCCUAAGUUUUUGCCUGAAAACACGGUAUACCAAGUGACUAAGGGCAGCAGCAAGUUGAUUUGCUUUGCUUGGACAGCAAGCAUCGAGGCUUGCAGAAGAAACAAUUGAAGAAAGAAACAGAAAAUAAAGCUUGCGAAUGGAAAACAGAAAAGAAAAGAGAGAAUUUGAAUGAAAAAAAUUGAAAAUUUUCAUUAACAUUAGAGAAUAAGGCAUUAAGCCAUUACAUAUAUCAGCUAACAUGUGAAACAAACAAGUAAUCACCUAAUCAACUACCUGCCUCAACUAAUCUGCCUUGAAACUUACAAAAUUAUCUUCCAUAUAUUGCUAUGCUGAUUUUUCAAUCAAUCAACAUAAAAAUUACAUUAAAACAUUUACCUACUUAGUUCAAUAUGAACUAAAUUACAAAAGGAUUUAAAGAGAACUAAAUGCAGCAAGUAAAUCAACAACUUCAAGUUUUAGCUGCUGCACACCAUGGCUCGAUUGCCUGCUGCCAUUUCUUCCUACAUUGCCACCUUUGCAUGGGAACUAAUCUCAACACUCCUCCUUAGUUUCCAUGCUAGUGACACUUAAUUCUCUUUUCAAUUUAAUAAAUUUUGACACAUUAAGUGCCUUUGUGAAGAUAUCAGCAAUUUGCUCUUCUGAAUUGCAAUGAACCAGCUCGAUUUCAUGAGCUUGCUCCAUCUCUCUUAUAACAUGUAAUUUGAUAUUAAAAUGCUCCGUUUUGCCAUGGAAGAUGGGAUUCUUUGCAAUUGCAAUAGCAGAUUUGUUGUCACGGUAAAUCUCUAUUGCUCCUUCUUGAUUUUGGUUUAAAUCAGCCAGGAUUUUUCUAAGCCAUAUGGCUUGAUUUACAGCAGAUGCAGCAGCAACAUAUUCAGCUUCUGCUGUUGAUUGUGCUACUAGGCUCUGAUUCUUAGAAAUCCAGCAAAACAUGCCUGAGCCAAGGCUAAAUGCAUAUCCAAAUGUGCUCUUCAUGUCAUCACAUGAUCCUGCCCAGUCACUAUCGACAUAACCUGUUAACUUCAUGUUUUCAGCCCUUUUGAACAACACACCAUGAUCAAUGGUGCCUUUGAUGUAUCUUAGCACUCUUUUAGCUGCUUGAAAGUGCUGAUUAUUGCAACAAUUCAUGUAUCUGGAUAGCACACUAACUGCAAACAUGAUAUCCGGCCUUGUUGCAGUCAAAUACAGUAGACUACCAAUGAGACUCUUGUACAUAGUCUCACAAACUGGUUCACCACUUUCCUGUCUCGAUAGCUUCAUUGCAACAGCCAUUGGUGUGCUUGUUGGCUUGCAGUUCUUCAUAGAGAACUUGUUUAAGACCUUCAUAGCAAAGGAACUCUGGCUGAGAAAGAUUCCAUUUGCAGUCUGUUUCACUUCCAUUCCUAGGAAGUAAUUCAUUCUGCCUAGAUCAGUCAUCUCAAACAUUUUCAUCAUUUUUCUCUUGAAGUCAUGCAGCAUAUUCUUGUCUCCUCCAGUAACCAAUAGAUCAUCAACAUAAAGUGAUAGGAUAAGCUGAGUUUCAGCUUGAUUUUUCUUCACAUACAGUGUUGGUUCACUGACACUUCUCUCGAAUUCCAAACUAAUCAUGUAAGAGUCAAUUCGAGCAUACCAGGCUCGAAGGGACUACUUCAGGUCAUACAAGGCCUUUUUCAGCCUGUACACCAUGUGUUCUUUGCCUGGCAUUAUAAAACAUAGAGGCUGUUCAAUGUAGAUUUCUUCUUCUAGGAAGCCAUUGAGAAAUGCAGACUUCACAUUCAGCUGAUGAAUGGUCCACUGAUUUUGAGUAGCCAAGGCAACUAUCAUUCUGACUGUGUCAAGCCUGGCUACUGGUGCAAAAGCCUCCAGGUAGUCCAGGCCAUAUCUCUGACUAAAUCCUUUGACAACAAGCCUGGCUUUUAGCUUGUUAAGACUGUCAUCAGCAUUUUGUUUUGCUCGAUAGACCCAUUUCACUCUAAUGGUCUUCUUUCUAGCAGGCUUAUCAACUAAUUCCCAUGUCUGAUUCUUCUGAAUCAUGUUGAUUUCAUCAACCAUAGCCUGUUUCCAGCCUUUAUCUGCCUCAGCCUCUUCAAAACUGGUAAGUUCUGCUCUAGCAACCUGUGCUCUUUCAUAAAUUUCAUCUAGGGACCUAGUGCCUCUCACAGGCACAUCAUCGAUGUCCAUUUCAGGACUAAGCUGCUCGAGUUCAGCUUGAUUAGGCACCAGGUCUUCUGAAAUAGCUUCUGGUUCAUUCUUCUCCCAAUUCCAGCAUGCCUUUUCAUCAAAGGUAACAUCUCUGCUUACUUGAAUUUUGCUUGUUAAGGGAUCCAGAACCCUAUAGCCCUUCUUGACUGAGCUAUAGCCUACAAUAAUACCAUCCUGAGCUCUCUUUGAAAGUUUAUCCCUCUUUACUGCUGGUAUUUGUGCAUAGCACAGACAACUAAACACCUUCAGAUGUGCCAAGGAAGGCUUGAAUCCAAACUAAGCCUCAAAAGGUGUCUUGGAAGCAAGAGCUUUGGUAGGAAGCCUAUUCUGAAGGUAGACAGCAGUGUUUACUACCUCAGCCCACAUGGUUUUGGGCAGUUUCUUCUCAAACAGUAAGCAUCUGGCCAUAUCCAUCAGGCUUCUGUUCUUCCUUUCAGAUACCCCAUUUUGCUGAGGUGUGUACACAUUUGUUAGCUAGUGUUUGAUGCCAGCAUCAUUGCAAAUGGCUUGAAACUGAGCUGAAGUGUACUCAGUCCCAUUGUUUAUCCUUACCGAUUUCAGCUUGCAGCCUGUUUCUAUCUCAACAGCAAUUUUAAACUUUACAAACACUUGAGCUACCUCAGACUUGUGUUUCAAGAAGAAAAUCCAACAAAACCUUGUAAAAUCAUCAAUGAAGAGGAUAAAAUGCUUGUUUUUGCUAAGUGAUUCAGUUCUCAUAGGUCCACAUACAUCAGAGUGCACCAGCUGCAGUCUUUCAGUGGCUCUCCAUGCUGAGUUUGUGGGAAAUGGCAGUCUUGCCUGUUUUCCCAUCUGGCACAUUUUACACACAUCAUCAUGCUCCACUGAGUUGGUGAAGUUCUCAGCCAAGCCCUCUCUAGCCAUUCGAGCCAUCGACCUGAAGUUGGCAUGUCCAAGCCUUUGAUGCCAGAGCUUGGAAUCAUCUGUAGAGGUUGUGUAUGCUGACUUUGAGUCAUUUGGCUAAUGAACCUCAAAGCAUUUGUCAGUCAUUGUGACUGUCGUAAGGCUUGAUCCACUUGGAUCAGCAAUCUGGCACUGUUUGUCAUUGAACACAACUGAAUAGCCUUUCUCGAGUAGUUGAGAUAUGCUGAGAAGGUUUUUGUCAAUCUCAGGCACCAAUAGCACAUUCGAGAUGACUUUGUUUCCUAUAGGAGUGCAUAUCAACACAUCUCCUUUUUCCUCCAGCCUUUAUAAACUGACAAUUUCCAACCUUGACCUUGGUUUUGCAGCUUCUGUCCAAGGUUUUGAACAAGGAUGCAUCUGGUGACAUGUGGUUAGUGCAGCCACUGUCCAAUAGCCAGCCUUUUGAACAUUUCUUCUCAGCAGCUGAGCAGGACACAGCAAAGACCUACUCCUCUUGGUCACUACUAUCUUCAGCCACUCGAGCUUCAGCCUUUAGUUGUGGAAAUUGUCUCUACCUUGGUUUGGUUUUGUUUUUACAAACCUUUUCAACAUGACCCUUCUUUUUGCAAUGCUGGCAUAUAGCAUCUGGUCUGAACUAGCAUUUGUCUUCUAGAUGACCUGGCCUCUUGCAAUAUCUGCAGGGCUGGUCACUACUUCUUGCAGCAUCAGGCUUAGGCCUAUUUUUCCAGGGCUUUUUGCCUCUAUGAGCAUUGGUGCUCCAGGCUUCUUUGGCUCUGGCUUGAAAUGCACCUUCCUGGUGGUCUUCAACCCUGCUAGCUCUCCUUUGUUCCUGAGCAUAGAAAGUGUUGAUUAGCUCAGUUAAAGAGAUGCUAGCUAGAUCUCUUGAGUCCUCUAGAGAGGAUAUCUUGGCCUCAUAUCUCUCAGGCAGAGUGGAGAGGACUUUCUCCAUAAUUCUUGCCUCAUCAAAGUGCUCACCUAGGAGCCUUAUGCUGUUAACCAUUGCCAUGAUUCUAUCUGCAUACUGCUUCACUGUUUCUUCUUCCCUCAUCUUCAGAUUCUCGAAAUCCCUUCUCAAAUUCAACAAAUGUUGUUGCCUUGUUCUUUCUGUGCCUUGAAACUCCUCCUUCAACUUAUCCCAGGCCUAUUUUGGAGUCUCACAGGCCAUAUCCCUAGUGAAGAUGACAUCUGAUACACAGUUCUGAAUACAGGACAUAGCUUUGUGCCUUUUGGUCCUCUCAUCAACAUGUUGUCUAAUCUGAGCUACUGUGGGAUUGGCCCUCAAUGGUGCUGGCUCAGCAUUUGUGUUGACAACUUCCCACAGAUCAAAGGCUUGCAGGUAAGUCUUCAUCUUGACCAGCCAUAUGUGGAAGCCUUCUCCAUUGAAGACUGGUAGGGCUGCUGGUGAAAAUCCUGAAGAAGCCAUUCAGGUUCCUUGGUUUGAUACAGCAGGUCCACUAAGAGAAGGGCUCUAGAUACCAAUUAUUGGUGUUUAAUGGCAGCAGCAAGUUGAUUUGCUUUGCUUGGACAGCAAGCCUCGAGGCUUGCAGAAGAAACAAUUGAAGAAAGAAACAGAAAAUAAAGCUUGCGAAUGGAAAACAGAAAAGAAAAUAGAGAAUUUGAAUGAAAAAAAAUGAAAUUUUUCAUUAAUAUUAGAGAAUAAGGCAUUAAGCCAUUACAUAUAUCAGCUAACAUGUAAAACAAACAAGUAAUCACCUAAUCAACUACCCACCUCAACUAAUCUGCCUUGAAACUUACAAAAUUAUCUUCCACAUAUUGCUAUGCUGAUUUUUCAAUCAAUCAACAUCAAAAUUACAUCAAAACAUUUACCUACUUAGUUCAAUAUGAACUAAAUUACAAAAGGAUUAAAAGAGGACUAAAUGCAGCAAGUAAAUCAACAACUUCAAGCUUCAGCUGCUGCACACUAUGGCUCGAUUGCCUGUUGCCAUUUCUUCCUGCAUGGCCACCUUUGCAUGGGAACUAAUCUCAACAAAAAUGCACUCUUAAACAUAAAUUUAGUACAUGAUCCUCUAUUGCAUUUGCUUGACUGAAGUUUUAUUUUGAUAUACUUUUUAGUUCCUGCAAGUUGACCAUCACAACAUACAUUUUUUAAUGAACUCAAUGGAGGAAAAUAAAGACAAUAAAUUAUAUUUUCGAUCGAAUGGUGGUGGACGAGUUUAUUUCUUUCAUCUUCUUUGAUAUUGUGUUUUCUAUGCUUGCAUAUUGUUUUCAUUCUGAAAACUAUGAACUCAACUGAGAUAUUCUCACCUUAAUUACACUGUUAUGAUGAUGGCAUCAUUAUUGGUAUCUUUAUAUUUUUUAUCUUGCUGAUAGGACAAUACUUUGGAUCCUUACAGGCGGCAAGCACAUGAAUCAAAAAUAUUAACCAUUGAUGUGAAGCCAGGAUGGGAGAAAGGAACAAAGAUUACUUUCCCAGAUAAAGGAAAUGAGCAGCCAAAUCAGCUUCCAGCAGACCUUGUAUUUGUAAUUGAUGAGAAACCCUAUGAUCUUUACAAAAGAGAUGGAAAUGAUCUUAUUGUCAACAAAAGGGUGUCACUAGCAGAAGCACUAGGGGGCACCACGAUAAAUUUAAGUACUCUUGAUGGCGGUGGUGGUGAUGACACCAUUUUCUAAUUAACUUUAGGUAUCCUUUGUACAGUUUUUGUAAAAAUGAGCUAGAUGUAUGAAAAGAACCAUAUAUACAUGGUGGGCAGUUGAAACCUCAUCCAGUCAAUGUUGUUGUAUGUGAACUUAAUUGGCUUUUGCAAUGAAGAAAACCAUGAAUGUAUGGUAGUGUUGGAUCUCAAAGUUAAAAUGCUUUGACAUAUAGAUUAUAACAUAUAAACUAAUGAAAUCAUUUACCUUUUUGUUAAUAUAUGAAUAUUAUGUUUGGGUGUGAAAUAUAAUUCUCAAGUUAUUUAUUAUUUCUAAUAUUUUAUUUUUUAUUGUAGAAUAAUUAAAUUAUUUGUUUCACUAAUGAUAUUUUAGCACAUUAAAUAUGUAUUGCAGUUUAAAAAUAAUAAAGUAGAUUAUAUAUUAUUUUUAUAGUAUUAUAUUUUAUGAUUUUAGUAAAUUCAUAUAAUAAUUUUAUUAAGAAUUUUAUUAAAUUAUAUAUUAUUUUAUUAAAUUAUAUUUAAUAAUAAUUAUGUUUAAAUAUGGUUAAAUUAUUUAUUAUUUUUAUUAAAUUAUCUUUAAUAAUAAUAUUAUUAAAAUUUAAUAACACUAAAAAUAAUCAUCUACCUAAAAAAAUUCUGCUAAGGAUAUUCAAGCCAUUUUAGUUUUUUUCCUUAUGUUAUUACAACAUCGUUCCAUUCAACCAAACACAAGAAUACUAUUACAGUUCUAUUCCAUUCCAUUCAACCAAACAAUUGAAUUACUGAUUACAGCUCUAUUCCAUUACAGCUCUAUUCAAUUACAGCCCUAUUCAAUUACAGCCCUAUUUCAUUACAGUGAACCAAACGUACCCUAAAUGUUGCAUAGAACUCAUAGACUAGUUCAUACUAUGCAAUACAUGAAAUAUUUGCAAAUGAACUCCAACCAAUAGCAUCAAAAUAGUUCAAUACAACAUCACGUAUAUUAAGCAUAUCAAGAGUGUAAAGAUCAAUUUUCUUAUAACACCCCCUAACCCCAAACCAUCGUCGGAACAGGGUUACGAGGUAUUACCGAACAUAUCAGACAACUUACGAAUAAUUCAUAAAUAAAAUAACAUUCGUAAUAUAAUUGAAAAAAAAACCAAGUCCCUGUAAUGAACUUUCGAAGUCUAAAACAUGUAUUAAAAGUGAAAUGGGACUCGUUCAAAUACUCCGAAAUUUUUUUUUUAUAAAUUUCAACAGUAUUUCUGCUUAUUUUUUUACAUAAAACCCCCUACAAUUAAAACCAUAUCAUUUCCAAACAUAACCAAUUCAACCAAUUCAUUUCACAUUCUCAUUUUCUAUUCUAAAUACCUUCUAAUCAAACCCAAUCAACUUAAUAUCAAUUUAAAUUUAUCAAUGUACUAAUUAAAUUGAAAUGGAUAAACUUCUUUCAUUAUAAUUCUUAGACUUAUAAUACUAACAUUUUUAACUAUUUAUAUUCAAAACAUAAUAACAUUUAUACACAUCCUAUGUACAUGCCACAUUACCAAAAGAAAAUAUACAUCACCAAAAUUUGCUAAAGUCAGGUCUGGUUUUGGAUGUUGGUUCAGUACUUGACUUCUACAACCUGCGCACGGAAACAACCGUACGCUGAGUAUUUCAUACUCAGUGGUAUUACUAUAUUAAACUAUUUAAUAAUAAUAAAAUUUCAAACAUCGACCAUAAACUUUAUAAAUCACUUAAACUAAAUAUACAUAUUUAUAUAUCAUUUCAUAAAUCUUAAAUUCAUAUAUAUAUAUAUAUUUCAUACUAAUUCAAUUCAUAAUUUAACUCAUACAUUCUUUCUCGUACUUUUCAAUAGUGCCAAAUCAAUCAAUUUCAUUUUCAAAUUUUCAUUUCAAUUAUUUACCCUAUUAACAAGGCUAGGACUCUGACAGAUACGCGGAUUCCACCCAAACACACCAGAAUAUCCAACAUAAACACACCCAGAAUAAUAAAAAUCCUCCCAAACACACCAGUAUAUUAUAUCCUCCCAAACACACCAGUAUAUUAUAUCCUCCCAAACACAUCAAUAAGGCAUUAAAUGCCUCUUUGGAUAAACCAAAGCAUAUAAUAACAUAAUCAUCUUCUCGGCCGAACUACAAAUCUCCUCAUCACAUCACAAAUCCUAUGGCAUGCCAUUUGUAUCCAAUCUAGUCCGAUAAGUUAAUAGGGUAUUAUUUUACUUUUCAAACUUCGAAUUCAUUUCCACAACAAAUUCCAAAUAUUCAAUCAAUUCAAAACAUCUCUUAUUUCAAUUCACAUAUAAUUAAAUAUUCACACAUAUUCUUACUUAAUUUCAAAUGUUAUUACUUACCUUACUUAAAAUGUCUCAUGAUUACAAUUUCAAUAUAGCAUUUAUUAAAUAGAUUAAGUUAUAGUAAUACAAACCCGGAAUACGCUUUUACUCCUCAACGAUCUUUUCUUUUCCUUUGGAUGCCGAUGCCUCGUUUUCUUUGUUAGCUAUGAAAAUAAUAAUUAUUUUCACUAUUAAUUACAGCAUUAAAAAAAUUAUAAUUAAACUUUAUUCAAUUCCUACUUAUUCCCAAUUUAAUUCUAACUAAACUUACUUACUUUUCUAACUUAAUUCAUACUUCUUUUCUACUUAAUUUCUUGCCAUAUUUAACUCAACUAUUCAAUAUUCAUAAUUAAACCCUAAUUUAAGGCUUUUUUUUAUAACUUAAUCCCAACUAUGUAAAACUUAUAACUUAGUUUACAAUUCAAUCUUUUUAUCUAUUCUAACUAGAAAUUCUAUCAACUAAACCCCUAAUUUAACAACUUGGUCAAAAUGAAUCAUGUUCAAAAACUUAUGAACUUCCAUAACCUCCACUUAAUUUCAACAAAACUUUGUUUUAAAGCUUCUAAAACAUUAAAAUUAAGAGAAGAGUGCUAAAUUUAGCUUACCAAUUAAAUUUGAAGUUUUAAAAUCCCAAUUUUCCCCUUUUCUUUUCUUUCCCUAUUUUCGUCUCUUUCUCUGUUUCUUUUCUGUUCUUCUUUUGUUUCUUUGUCUUUUUAUUUUACUUACUUUACUUUAUUUCUUUUAUUUUAACUAAUAAUAUUAAUAAUAAUAUAUUAUAUAAAAAAAUCUUUCACUUAUUAUUUAAGCAUAUAUUUAUUUUUAUUACAAGUGUACCUAUAUAAUUAUUACUAUCACACUUGUAUUUAAUCUUUACCAUACAUUUGUCAUCUAUUUAGUUUAUUUAAUAUAAUAUAAUAUAACAUAAUAUAUUAUAUUAUAUAAUAAAAUAAUAUAUAUAAAACAUAAAAAUCUAAGAUUUUUAUCACUUAUGCUGCCUCAUUUCUUGUUAAUGGCUUAAUUACCAUUUUAAUCCUUUUUAUUUUCUAUUAAUCUAUAAUUUAACUUUUACCCCUAAUUCAAUUUAAUCCUUUUUUCUAAUUUCUCUUAAUUAAACUAAAUUCACCCAAUUAAUACCUAAUUAAGCACUCAACUAAACUCAUAAUUAUUUCAAAUAAUUUUUUUUAUGACUCAGUUUACUAAGACGGAGGCCCGAUAAUGUACUUUUCCGAUGCUUGUGAAUUUUGGGUCAUUACAGAUGCUCUACGAUUACAAAGUUCAGGGACCCUCGAAGUCGUGCUUCUGUCGGUAUAGUGUAGAUACGGCCUCGCCUAUUAUGUUGACCGUCUCGGGGUGGUUGAACAUUUUCUUCAGGCGAGCCAGGUGGUGGGCUCGAAUUUUCAGCAGCUUUAGUACUGCUAUGUGAAGAUGAUACUAGUUCAUCAAAUGAUGGUCGAAUUUAGUUAUGAUUAUAUCAAUUCUUUUAUGUAAUGAUGAUUCCUAGAUUGAGUUAAAGCAGAAUAAGCAUCAUUAGCAUCGAAAUUACAUGGUAUAUCCAAUAAAGUAGUAUGGUAUGAAUCAGUUUGAACAUCGUCAGGGUUAGUGAAACCCAUGGCAAGGUUAAAAUCUAAAAUCAACAUCCUAAAAUCUCUACCAAGUAAUCAAAAACAGACAAUAUCUGAGUUUCAACAGUUCGCAAUGCAUUAAUAUUAAAGCUAAAUGUUGCAUAGAACUCAUAGACUAGUUCAUAAUAAGCAAUACAUGAAAUAUUUGCAAAUGAACUCCAACCAAUAGCAUCAAAAUAGUUCAAUACAACAUAAUGUAUAUUAGCAUAUCAAGAGUGUAAAGAUCAAUUUUCUUAUAGACCGGGAGUGGCCGUUUUUGAAUGCCGUCGUAUCUUGCGUGAUACUCUACGGUUACAAAGUUAGAGACCCUCGAAGUCGUGCUUCUGCCGGUAUAGUGUAGAUACGGCCUCACCUAUUACGUUGACCGUCUUGGGGUGCUUGAACAUUUUCUUCAGGCGAGCCAGGUGGUGGGCUCGAAUUUUCAGCAGUUUUAGUACUGCUAUGUGGAGAUGAUACUGGUUCAUCAAAUGAUGGUCGAAUUUAGUUAUGAUUUUAUCCUUUUUAAUGUAAAAAAAUACAAUUAAACUAUAAUUUAGGAGGAAAAUGUAGCAACAUGAUGACAAAAAAUCCAAAUGGCAAAUCCCAAUUCUAGGAUCUAUUAUGGUAGGAUAGAGCAAAUAUUAUUUUUUUAAGAAAUGAGUAUUCAACCCGAAAUCGGUGAAUUCCAAUUUAAUCAAGUUUACAAUUAAUAUAUUAAUGUUUCAUUUGGUUAAAGUGUAAUAAUAUAAGAAAAUUACUUAUUUAUUAUAUUACAAUAAUGAAAUAUAAAAAAAUAAUUAAUAUAAUUUUAACUUAAAAAUUAAGUAAAAACUCUUAUAAAAUAUAUUCUUUUUAAAAUAAUCUAAAAUUCUCUUUGUACUAAAAAUAAAUCAUAAAAGUAAUUUAAUAUUACCAAUUAAAUUAACUGAUAUACUUAAAAUAUACAUUAAAAAAUAAUUCUUUUAUCAACCAAAUAUAAUAUAAAUAUAAAUUUUCAUUAUCAAUGUUGGAAAGUCUUUAUGUAUCACCAAUGUUGAAAAGUCUUUGUGGGGACAUUUAGCAUUGUCAUUGUCAAUCAGAUUUCAUUAUCAACACAGUUUGAUGAUGGUAGGGCGGGGAUGCUAUUAUUAGCAAUUGAUCACAGUGGUGCAUCUAUGGUAGUUUUUGAUAUUAACAGUUUAGUGAUAUACCUUUCCUACAUUGGGCUUUUGUGACUGUAAUGACAUGCAAGUAUUAAAAAAAUGACAAUGGGUGGUUCUGAAUACUAUUAUUUGUUUAGGAUAUUCUUUAAUUUGUUGUAUUUUCCUAUUUGUAGUUAACUAUUGUUUUUUAGUUUAUUGAUGAUGGGCGUCAAAACCACCAAAUAAAAAUUCCUACGACAAAUUAACUCUAAAUAGUAGUAAAGAGUAGUAGGGAUGAACUCAUAGGGAUUGGUUAUUGUUAUCCAAUUUUAUUUUUCCUUAUGAACAUGAUUUCUUUCAUGGCAAUAGUCGUGUCCGCGACUCAAAACGAACUCGCUGAAAAAUAAACAAACAAAAUAAAUUAGGGGAGUUGAAAAUGUUUAGAAAUUAAAUAAGUGAGAUAGCAGAAAUAUGCAAUUAUAUUAAUUAAAAAUAAGAUAAAAUAAGAAAGUGAUUUGAAAAAGUGAUUUGAAUUUUGUAAACAGAAAUAUAAAGCCUUGGCUUUAGACUAGGUGAAUUUCGAUUUCUGAAUCGAUCCUCGAAAAUAGAUUUUCUCUUCUAAAUCAUAAGUUAGUUAUAACAAUCAAGAACAUCCUAACUGUCAAUUCUUCCUUUCGUAGUUGAUUCUGGUACGACAUACAAAUCAACCCUUACUGAUUGUCUAACCACGAUACACAUGUUCACAAUUCAAGACCCCAACAACCUUGCGCGUUCUAAAGAACCCAACUCGGAUUAACGGCCUCAACCGCGCGGGACAUUUAAAUCCGACCACUAUCUCUCUUCACGAAAAUCCCACUAGUAUGACCCCACCAGGACAUGCCAAUUUGUUUGCGGGAAUACGAAUACAGCACGACCAACUCAUCUUCCCAACUGUACGCCAAAACGACUCCAAUAGAACGUGCACUUUGUGUUGAAAUUGAACUAACUUUAAGGGUCAAAUUUGUACUAUCUCAUAUUUCGUAGAGAUGGUGAAUACUGUUAUGAAAUAUUUUUAGUACGGAUUCAUUUCUCACAAUUCUUGACCAGAAAGAAUAUCGACCUAAAGCUAAGUUAGAAAUUUAGUGAAGCAUGAAAUUAAUCAUACUUGAUUGGUGCAUGGAAAUGGUUUAAAUAGAAAUGGUGGAAAAUGGAUGGAAAGGAAAAAGGGACUUGGGAGCAAGUAAGUCAAAAUAUUGAAAUGGAAAUAAAAGUUGGCAGAAUGCAUGCACUUAAAGCAUGAAAGAAAAAAAAAAGAAAUCAACUAUUCAAUUUCCAAGUAUUAAAGGUGUGUCUUUCAAAGGCUACCAUACACCCUAUUUAUACACAAACCAUAUACUAAAAUUAGGCUAACCCACCUACCCACUAAUUACAUGAAAUAAAAUAUUAGAUUUUAUUGCUUAUGCUCCAAUUUAAUCCUUUUCUGCUUGUCUUUGAAUUAAAGCAUCUGGAUUUCGUUCCUGACAAAAAUUAAACAUAAAAUCACCAAUUUAGCAAGACUUAUUUCAAGAAUUAAUUGAUUUGAACACGUAAAAUAUGCAAAAUAAACAUGUUAUCAAAUCCCCCUACUUAGCUUAUGUUUGUCCUCAAGCAUAUUGUAUAUUUCUACAUUAGAAACUAUCCAAUAAUUUAUCGAAAAUCAAGCCUCUCUUCCGCAACCAUGAUUAAUAUAAAUAAUUUAGGCAAAAAAUGAAUAAGUUUUCAAAUACAUAGUUUAAUCAAUAAGAGUCAUUAAAAUUCAAACAUGUAAAUUCAAUUGCUUCACUAAAUUGCAUUUGAACCAAAAUUUGCAAGGUAUUUAUUCUCAAAUAAUUAUACAGUAAAUUUGGGACAUAGCCAAAUUAUUACGCGAAGUGAGAUGACAACCUAAGCACCUUACCUUGGUUACUCAAUUUGACACGUCUCCAAAUGGACCAUUUUUCCUUACUCAUGGCGGCUCGAUUAGCAAAGUGUUUGCAAGUUUCUGGUUCGUCACUCAAACCUUUUUACGCGAAAUGAGAUGACAACCCAAGUACCUCAUCUCGAUUACUAAAUUCGGUCACAUUCCUGAAAUCUCCACUCAUAAUUUAAGCCAUCAACGAAGUAUUUUAUUGUUAUAUUUUUUAUUUUUUUAAAAGAAAGAAAAUACAUUUAAAAUUAAACCAUUAAGAAUGAUAUUCUUACUAAGCAAAUUUAUAAACAACCAAUUUUCAUGAAACAAUCUAAUUACAAUAUUUUAAUUUUUAACACACACGUCGGUUAAACUAGAUAAUGAACACUUUAAUUCAAGAACCACCCAACUUUCUAAAUUAACUAAGCAUUGGAAUUAGAGGCUCAAUGUCAAAUAAAUUAAAAAAUAAUCCCAUCAUAAGAAUUAACUCAUGCGAAAGAGAAACAAUCAUGCAUACUUACACAUACUUACACCCCUACUUAACCUAUGCUUGUCCUCAAGCAUAUUAUAUAAUAAUUAAAGUAAGUAGAGAGAAAUGUCAAGUAUACCCCUCAUGUAUAUCUAACAUAGUGGUCGGCGUUGGGAGUGACUACUUUGCAAGAUGGCGAUAAUCGUGGAGACUUGGGUUUCCGUUGUUUCAAGGCGAGCUUCGAUGCAGCUUAAACGUUGCUCUACAGAUGAAGUAGGCUGCUUCUCUGGCUCCCUUGUAGCGAAAUUAUGACGUUGGUGAAAGAACCUAUUACUGCGAGCACAUGUAAAGGAGAAAAAAUCGACUUCAGAAGGAAAAAGUUGGAAGAUUAAAUUUGUAAUAUAAGGCCCAAGUAUGAGAGGUAGAUUAAAGUGUAAAACAUCAUGAAAAUUUAGUGCAAACCAAUAUCCUAAAUUAAGCUUAUAUCCAGAAUGCAUACACCACAAGAAGAAUAACUUUGUUUUGGUUAAAACAUAUGAUGAAUCAUUUUGGCAUUAAUAACUAAAAGCUAAAAACUGAUGAAUAUAUCUUAAAGAUGGUUCAUGCACUGACAAAUCCUUAGAGAUUUUAGGAUUGUAAUGAUGAUUCCUAGAUUGAUUUAAAGCAGAAUAAGCAUCAUUAGCAUCGAAAUUACAUGGUAUAUCCAAUAAAGUAGUAUGGUAUGAAUCAGUUUGAACAUCGUCAGGGUUAGUGAAACCCAUGGCAAGGUUAAAAUCUAAAAUCAACAUCCUAAAAUCUCUACCAAGUAAUCAAAAACAGACAAUAUCCGAGUUUCAACAGUUCGCAAUGCAUUAAUAUUAAAGCUAAAUGUUGCAUAGAACUCAUAGACUAGUUCAUAAUAAGCAAUACAUGAAAUAUUUGCAAAUGAACUCCAACCAAUAGCAUCAAAAUAGUUCAAUACAACAUAAUGUAUAUUAAGCAUAUGAAGAGUGUAAAGAUCAAUUUUCUUAUAGACCGGGAGUGGCCGUUUUUGAAUGCCGUCGUAUCUUGCGUGAUACUCUACGGUUACAAAGUUAGAGACCCUCGAAGUCGUGCUUCUGUCGGUAUAGUGUAGAUACGGCCUCACCUAUUACGUUGACCGUCUUGGGGUGCUUGAACAUUUUCUUCAGGCGAGCCAGGUGGUGGGCUCGAAUUUUCAGCAGCUUUAGUACUGCUAUGUGGAGAUGAUACUGGUUCAUCAAAUGAUGGUCGAAUUUAGUUAUGAUUUUAUCCUUUUUAAUGUAAAAAAAAUACAAUUAAACUAUAAUUUAGGAGGAAAAUGUAGCAACAUGAUGACAAAAAAUCCAAAUGGCAAAUCCCAAUUCUAGGAUCUAUUAUGGUAGGAUAGAGCAAAUAUUAUUUUUUUAAGAAAUGAGUAUUCAACCCGAAACCGGUGAAUUCCAAUUUAAUCAAGUUUACAAUUAAUAUAUUAAUGUUUCAUUUGGUUAAAGUGCAAUAAUAUAAGAAAAUUACUUAUUUAUUAUAUUACAAUAAUGAAAUAUAAAAAAAUAAUUAAUAUAAUUUUAACUUAAAAAUUAAGUAAAAACUCUUAUAAAAUAUAUUCUUUUUAAAAUAAUCUAAAAUUCUCUUUGUACUAAAAAUAAAUCAUAAAAGUAAUUUAAUAUUACCAAUUAAAUUAACUGAUAUACUUAAAAUAUACAUUAAAAAAUAAUUCUUUUAUCAACCAAAUAUAAUAUAAAUAUAAAUUUUCAUUAUUUAAUAAAAGUCAGUUUCGAGGCUGACAAAGAAGAUAUUGUUUAAAAAUAGUAGGUUUUGACUUAAGGAAAAAACAUCCCAAAUUAUUACCAAAAUACCCAUGUAUAUCAUCGUUAUUUUACCUAGGGUUUAUUUUUUUCAACUUUUGUGGGCUGUCAUUAUCAGUGUUAGUAUCCAUCUUCCCAUUCCCAUUCCCAUUCCCAUUCCCAUUCCUAUUGUAACUUGGAAGGUUUACUUUAUCUAUUUAUAAACUUUUAAAUAUUUUAUUAUUUUAUUCAUUAAUAUGGUUCAUCCCCAUGCAUCAAAUAUUAACUUUUUUUUAUAUAUAAAAGAAUAGGUGGAAGUGAGGCUUUUUUUAUUAUCUAAAUAAUAUAAAAUUAAAAUUAAUAAUUGAAUUUAUUUAUCAAAAUGAUAUGGUUUAAACAAGUCUUUAACUUAUGAGCUUAUUUAACUACAAAAAUAGGUUAAUGGUUUGUUUACACACAAUAUAGUGAGUUAAAGGAGAAUAAAAAUAAAAUAAUAAAUAAGAAGGGCUUACAAGGCAAUUAGCUAUAUUUAAGAUUUGGUGCCGCCACACCGGGACACUCUUGCAUUUUCUUUCAGCAGUCAGUCCCUAAAUACUUUAAAUCAUUACACUUCAAUAAAAUUAUACUAUUUUGAUAAACAAUUUAAUGUGCAUAUUAUUUUAGUUAUUAAUUUUAUCUUUUUUUUUUGUAUUAUUUAAAUAAAAAAGCCUGGAAGUGAAGGGGGUUUUUUUACCCAAAUAGUAUAGAAAAAAAAUACUGAAAUAGGAUGUCAGAAAAAAAUUUUACCAAAAUAGGUUACUUUUUCAUUGGAGCCUAUUAGAUAGGCGCUAAUGAAUAAAAUAAUAAUAAAAAUUUUUUUAAUAAAAUAUAAUUUUAUAUUUUUUUAAUAUUUUUUUUAAAAAAUACAGGUCAAAAUAUGGUCGGGUCGGGUCGGGUCGGGUGGCGCCUGUCAAGUAGGCGCCUGUCAAGUAGGCGCCAAUGAAGGAGCCUGAUGGAGAGGCGCCAAUGGUGCCUCUGCCCCCCCUGCAUGCUGCUACUGCUGCUGCCAUUGAAUUGUCCCUUUAUAAACCUUUUAUUUUGGCUAUAAGUAAUAGCAAAUGGUCCCAAACUCCACACGGUAGAGAAAAAAAAAAGAGAGAAAGGAGAAUAAGAGAAGGAGAAGAAGAAGAAGAAAGAAAAAAAAAGGUAAUGUAUUUUUUAAUAAAUAAUUUUGUUUAUAAUUUAAAAAGUUUAUAGUUUGUGAAUUUUUUAGGAUAUAUUUUAGAAAAUAUUGUGAAUUUUUUGUUAUUAAUUAUCUAUAUUUAGUGUUUAUAGUUUAGAUUAGAAUUUUGUAUGAAUAUUUUAAAUUUUUUGUAUGAAUAUUAUAAUUUUUUUAUGAAUAUUGUAAUGUUGUAUGAAUAUUGUAAUUAUUUUAUAAUUAAAUUUGUAUUUAUAGUUUUGGAUUAGUAAUUUUUUGUAUGAAUAUUGUAAUUUUUUAUGAAUAUUAUAAAUUUUUUGUAUGAAUAUUGUAAUAUUAUAGUUUUGUAUGAAUAUUGCAAUUUUUUUGUAUGAAUAUUGUAAUUUUGUAAUUUUGUAUGAAUAUUAUAUUUUUUUGUAUGAAUAUUGUAAUAUUAUAAUUUUGUAUGAAUAUUGCAAUUUUUUUGUAUGAAUAUUGUAAUUUUGUAAUUUUGUAUGAAUAUUGUAAUGUGGGGAUAUAUUGUAAUAUUGUAAUUUUUUGUAUGAAUAUUGUAAUUAUUUUAUAAUUAAUUUGUUAGUAAUUUGGGAAAAAUUCACAAUAUUUUGUGUUUGUAAUUAUUUAAAAUUUAAUUUAUUAGUAAUUUAGGAUUAAGCUAUAAGUUGUUGUGUUUAGUUUAGUAUUUGGUGAGUUUAACAUAUAAAGUUUAUAAAAAAAUUAAAAAUCAUUUCAUUAAAGUUAAUUAUAAAAAAAUUAAAAUCAUUUUAUUAAANNNNNNNNNNNNNNNNNNNNNNNNNNNNNNNNNNNNNNNNNNNNNNNNNNNNNNNNNNNNNNNNNNNNNNNNNNNNNNNNNNNNNNNNNNNNNNNNNNNNUCAUAUAGUUGUUGUUAACUCAUUUAAUUUUAUAUAAUGUAACUUUUAUAUAAUUAAAUUUUAUUUGAUUUGUAUUUAUUUAACAACAAUUAUUGAUUUUUUGAAACAAAUUAACUGAAUUCAUUUUUUUUAUUGCAAAUUUGUAGGAAAUGGGUUCUCUAAUUAAUAAUAAUAAUCACAUAUCAAAUACUAUUAAUGAGAUGGUAAUAAAAUUUAUUUUUGAUAUUCAUGUUAUUUGUUGAAUUAAAUUAUAUUGUAUUAACUAUUUUGCUAAUUUAAUAAUGUCAGGGUCCGUACAGCGCAUUGAGGGGCCGUGUUAAUAGUGUAGGGUUUCAGCCAGAUGAACGCCUAAUACCAUACUUAGAGUUAGCCGGGUUCGGAUCAGCGGCAUUGAUUCGGACUUUUGAUCUACGAUACGACUUGAUUUACGCUUUAGUCGAGCGAUGGCGUCCGGAGACCCACACAUUUCAUCUGCCGUGCAGAGAGUGUACCGUCACUAUAGAGGAUGUUGCAGUACAGCUCGGGCUUCCCAUAGACGAGAAUGCGGUCACGGGCGUAAGUUCAAUCUCUAGGCUGGCUACCCUUUGCAAUGAACUACUUGGACGCUCGCCAAGUUAGGGGAAAUUUACCAGUUGGAGAUUUUCAUGGCUACAUGCCAAUUUUGAGCAUUUGCCAAGUACUGCUAAUGAAUGGAACGUGAUGCAGGUUGUUCGAGCUUACAUUAUGCACCUUAUAGGGGGUGUACUCAUGCCGAAUGCAAACGGCAGUAAGGUCCACUUGAUGUACUUACCCUUAUUAUCCAAUUUGCAUAACACUCGUUCAUACAGUUGGGGGUCCGCAGUUUUAGCCAUGUUGUAUCGCGAACUUUGUCGGACAACAGCUCCUUCUGCGGUUGACAUGGGCGGAUGCCUCAUACUGCUGCAGUCGUGGGCACUUUACCGGAUGCCAUUCUUGGCACCCAUUAGUCAUCAAUCAUAUGUAUUUCCACUCGUUAAUAGGUGAUGAAUUUUUACUCAUUAUAAUAAUUAGUUGACUUUUUCUAUAUUAUAUUAUUCUAACAUUUUUGUUUUCAUAGGUGGAGUAGUAAUCCGGGUAUCGAAAAGUCACAGACGGUUCCGAUAUAUCGUCUAAUGAUUGAGAAUCAUGCUGGAGAGGGGGUAAAUUUUUCGAAUAUAAACUUAAUUUUAUUAUUUUAUCUCACUCGACCCGCGUUAAUAUAACAACGUUAUUAACUAUGCAGUUCAUUUGGAUGUCAUAUUCUGCUCCAGAAAUUAUGGCAGUUAUCCCAUCAUCUGCCCACGUCCACUCAAACCUAUGGUGCAUUAGCGCACCCAUUAUCAAUUUUAACGUAGUGGAGUGGUAUCAUGGCAAUCGAGUACUCCGGCAGUUCGGUUGCAUACAGUAUAUCCCGACACUACCAGUACAAUUAGGGGAGAUCCAUGGGAUGAGCAAGAAGGGGAGGUAUGGAGAUAAUUGGGAAGAAGUGCACGAAGAAUACAUUACGAUAUGGAACAACCGGUUCGGGAGGGUACCUCAGAUGGAUCGUGCUCCGGAUUUGCAGCCCUCGUUAGAGUAUAUACAGUGGUACUGUGAGACAGGGAAACCAUUUCUGUUUGGUGGGCGGUCGAUUGUAGUCCCUCCGUAUACGACACGAAUUACGCAACCCCUUCGAGAUCUGCAUCAUGCACCGGAGCCAGAGCCAGAGCCAGAGCCGGAGCCAGACCCAGACCCAGAACUACAUUCUAGGGAUAGUUCUUAUCAUCCAGAAUUAGGGGGCGAUGACUAUUUCGUGGCCUCGUAUCCACCUCAGUACUCCGCUCCUUCCGGCCAAUAUCCACUGUCGUACUCCUCUCCUCCCGGAUCAAGUUCAUCGAUGGCAUUUGAGACAUAUGAUUAUUCAUCUAUGUUUCACACACCUCAACAUACUGUCGAGGAGAAUGUUGAUAAUCGUAAUCGCCCACAACGUGAGCGUCGAGCUCCACAAAAAUAUACCCCUAGAACCACACCAUCAAACCAUUAAUUUUAGGGGCUUUUGUAAUAAACAACCUCAUAUUUAUGUAAUGAUAGUUCUUAUCUAAAUAAAAUUAUAAUGGUUUAAAAAUGUCUCCAUAACUGUAACAAAUUGUAGACAAUUUUGUGAUUCAAACCAUAUUUAUGUAAUGAAGUACAUAUUAAUUUCUACCCGAUUGAGACGAUUGUCCAACAUGGUAGUUUCGGAGAGGGCAUUUACUCCGAUUAUGACCGGGUAAUCUGCAUAGGCCACACAAAUUCCCAUCAGAUUUCUCUCUAAUGUCCAUUUCGUUAUGGAUUCUGGAUGAUUGCGGACGACCUUUCAGGUUUUUACGCAACCUUAUGUCUGGGACUAGCUCGAAGGUCGUCGGAGGUACCUUCAAAGUAGAUAGGUGUACACUUCAUCGAUAAAUUGUUCUACAUUGAGCCCAACUUUAGCACAAGCUGCCACGGCGUGUGCACAUGGAAAAUGAAGUGUUUGAAACCUCCUACAAUCGCACUGUCUAUUUCGGAGAUCAACUCCGUAGGACCUAGAUGGUAUACUGGGUCGACAACCGAUGGUCUCUGUAACUCGAAAUGUUUCAUUAUGUCGUGAAUAUAUUUCUACUGUCAUCGACCUCACCAUUUGACGGUUUACAACUAUUGCAUCCCUAAUGCCUUCGACAAAGACAUGUCCCACCUCCAUCUGGUUCACUUGCUGCUGACCCAUUCUUGGCAUCAAGGUAGCCAACCUGUAGAAUGUUGCCUAGAAGACAGAUGAAAUUAGAAGAUGUCGUGUUUUUAAUAACACAGCGUUGAUCCUAUCCACUAAGUUUAUAGUCAUUUGACCAUAACGAAAGCCCUCGUCAAAACAUUGAGCCCAUUGCCACGGCUCCAUGGUACCCAGCCACUGCCGGAAAGAUGUGUUGGUUUGACCCUCCAUGUCACUCUCAAGUCGGGCCAUUCUUUGGCGAAAAAUGUGUGGCUCUAGCUCGUACGCUGCAUAUGUAUUAAAAAAUUUAAGUUACAGUAUUGCUCUAAAACAUUAAAACUUAUAUUUAAAAGAUGAGGUAAUUCUUUACCAAUUCUCACAACUUGUCUCUUCCAGUCUGCAUUCUUAUAAUCUCGCUGAAAGUUAGCCGCGAUGUGCCGGAUCCAGUAAACAGAUCUCCACGGUACACCAGAACGCCUAAUAGCUGUAAUUAAUCAUUUCCAUCUAUCGGAAAUGAUGCAAAUAUUAUCAUUGCUAAUUACAUACCUCCGCAAGUUGGUAAGAAAGAACUCCCACGAUUCCAUGUUCUCCUUAUCGACGAUGGCAAAUGCUAUUGGGAGUACGUUCCUGUUGCCGUCUUGAGCAACUGCAAGAAGUAAGAUCUGUGUGUAUUUUCCAUAUAGCCAGGUUCCAUCUACUUGCACAAAUGGUUUGCAGUGGGGAAAUGUGCGCACACAUUGAUCAAAAGUCCAGAACAUCCGAUGGAAAAUUCUUUUUCUCGAUUGUAGUUGGUCAUUUGGCCCGUAAUAAGAUCGUGUCUGCAACUCAAUUAGAGUCCCCGGUACGUGUUCCCUCAUGGCGGCUAUCCAUCCCUGUAAUUCAUUGUACGAUACAUCGAAAUCUCCGUACAAUUGGUCCAUUGCCAUCUGUUUAGCUAUCCAUUCCUUCUGGUAUGAUACUCGAUACUGGAAUCGUGCUUGUAUUUCAGCAAUCAGUACUGAAACUUUAAUGGUCGGCAUGUCUUUCACCAUUGGCAUGAUACAUGUACAGAUAGUUUUGGAGUCAAGUUUUCGAUGAUCUUCUGUCAUACGUGUUGAAGUGCAUGUGUGGGGCCCAACAAAUUUUCGUAUCUCCCACAUCUGCGACUUCUGCAUGAAUGCAGCUCGUAUGCGCCAAUUGCAGCCUUCUACCGACCUCUAACACUCUCCAAUAUAUAAUGUUGGUUUAGACUCGAUGACUUUGUAAUCUACUGAUAUAUUCAUGCUAUACCGCUUAAUCGCAAACAUGUAUUCUUCCUUACUUUCAAAUCUCUGGCCCACACGUAACUCAUCUGGAUCAGAAUAUACGCCCAUUCGGUAAGCAUGUGGUAUUUCAGGGUACUCUGAAAACUCAGCUGCCUGUGCUGCAUCGGGGUCUAUCCGAGACAUGUGUGCCCCAAGAUUAUUGUGUAUCACAAUACGAUGAAUCUGGCUUCCGACUGAAGACGCAUUAAAGUUUCCAUCCUCAUUCACGCAUUCGUCGUCAAUAUCAUCCGGGACCUCGUCUGCGUCGGGAUCACUCUCACUAUCCACUUCGUAAUCAACAGGAUCAUUACUAUAGUAUACAUCAUCACCAACCACAUCAGUCUCGGCUGCAGCAUUAAGAUCAAUAUUUAUCCCAUGUAUAGGUGAUUGACUAUCAACAUACGAUACCGGAACCACCAUACACGGUGCUUCAACUCCAUCUUCUUCACCUAAUGGAGUGGGAUCUUCAGUUGCCUCCACACUGGCUAACUCAGCAAAUAACUAAAUCGGUGCAUUUUUGUUACUCGCAGUCCUACAAUAAAGAGCGACCAUUGUCUCCACGUCUUCAUCGUCUACAAGUUCCAUUUCGGUAAAUUUUAUUGGAUCUGUUGAAACUGGAAACUUGUAGAAAACUUUUGUUAUCCUUCUCCCACAACGUCUAUAAAUUUUUUCACUAAUUUUUUCCUUCAUAUCAUCAAACGAGAUAUUUCUAUCAAAUCUCAUUGCUACUUGUUUGCGACAUUCAAAUAUACAUCUCACAGUUGUUGUCAAAAUUUCUCAAUCGAAAUAAACGCAUACAAAAAACUGAUUCUCCAUUUUCAAUACUAGAUCUGUAAAAAAGAAUUUCAAAUUUCUUAAAACAGUUUCAAAAUGUAAACAAAUUACAUAAUAAUUUUAAUGCAAAAUUUUUCAUUCAGAAGCUAACAAAAUUAAUAACAUGACAAAAUAACUUUCAAAUAAUAAAAUUACUAACAAUACUCUACAUUCUAUUUAAAAAGAAAAACCAAAAUACCUAAUUUUUUUCUUCUUUUCCUUCCUUCUUUUCUUCUGCUUCAUUCCUUCUUAUUUCUUUCGUUUUUGGAGUAAAAUUUAUGUCUGUGUUGGCGGUAUUUAUAGGGAAAAAUAACAGCAUUGACGCCUCUCAGAAUGGCACCACCAUUGGCGCCUCCCAAGUAGGCACCACCAUUGGCACCUCCCAGAUAGGCGCCAAUACUAUGUAUUAUACGGGUUAUAUACUAACCCGGAAAAGUAUAAAAUUAUAUUUUAUUAAAAAAAAUUUAUUAUUAUUUUAUUCAUUGGCGCCUAUCUAAUAGGCUCCAAUGAAAAAGUAACCUAUUUUGGUAAAAAAAAUUUCUGACAUCCUAUUUCAGUAUUUUUUUUUAUACUAUUUGGGUAAAAAACCCAAGUGAAGGUCUACAAAGUUUUCAUAAUUCAUUGUAAAGCCCAAAAUCUGCCCGGGCCCAACACACUCAAAACAGUCCAAUUACAAAAUAAAACCCAAAAUGUUAACAGUUCAUUUACAAACCAAAAAAAAAAAAACCAGACCCAAAAUUAAAUAAACCCAACAGGCCCAAAAGAAAAAAACUAGCCCACAACAAAAACUUUCAGCAGCAGCAAAGGAUGAGAGAACCCUAGCCGCAUGCACACCUUCAGUAGUGCGCGCCGCUCCAACUCCUCGCCGCCUCUGCCUAUGCGCGCCGUUCCAUCUCCUCGUACGCCAUCGUCACGCCUCUGACACCUGCAGAGAGCAAUAAACACGCAAGCACAAGAAGACAACAGAAGCAUACAACAGAAAAAAACAAGAAAAUAGAAACAAAAAGUUGUAAAAUGGCUAUAAAAAGUCACAAUGAACAAUAGUUAUCUCUUCUGGACUUUUGACGAAAAAAAUCAGAAAUCAAAUAAAAAGGUUGUUGUUCUUGUUUUUUUCUGGUCGAUUCAUUUGUUUAUUUUAUUUUAUUUUAUUUUAUUAUUAUUGUUUUUUACAAAUCGUUUUUAAAAAAAAACUAUUAAUAAAUAUAAGAUAAAAGGGAGAAGAGGGGUUACCUGAACCGACCGGUAGCCCCGCCGUCUGUGUCUCUUCGCCGCCGUGGGAUCCGAACACGGGGGAGGGCUAAGGACCCCUUUUUUCUCCGAUUUCUGGCUUCAAGGACUCGGCCUUUGAACGCGCUUCAAAGCACUGGUCAAGGAAGCGUCUUCGUGCGACGCCGGCCACCGGACACGGUGGCGCUACGGCGGCAGAUGUGGCCGGUUUCUAGAAAUGAUGAGAGAGGGGGAGGGAGAUUUCUGAUUUUUUUUUUAAAAUGAAAGAGGAGAAAUGAAGUUUUUUUAAAAAAAUUGGUUUAAAUAGCAACAAGGAAACGACGCUGUUUUGGAGUGUGGGUUCAGAAGCCAAAACAACGUCGUUUUGGCCCUGACCCGACCUAGUGGCGUUAAGGAUCCGCGCAUUUCUGUUAAAUGGGCUAUUUAUGCCCUUGGUCCCUCCUCAUUAUUAAUUUGUUUUGAUUUCAUCCUUCUGCUUGUUUAUUUAUUCUUUUUUAUUUUGUCCUGCGAAUUUUCUGCUCGUCUCAGUUUAGUCCUGUGCAAAACGACGCGCAUAAGGGGUGGGAAUAUUGCACAAUCGGUCCCCCAUGUCCUCAGCGCAUUUUAUUUCAGCCCCCUAGCAAUCUGUUUUAUUUAUUUGCAAUUUAAACUCCGAUUUUUAGCCUGAUUUCAAUUCGGUCCAUGACUUGUUUGUAUUAUUUCCCUUUUUAUUUUUUUAUUUAUUGCUUAUUUAUUAUUUCUAUUUUUAUUUUAAAAAAUAUUUUCAUUAAAUAAUUCUAUUAAUUUUUUACUCAUUUUCCAUUUUUGAUUUAAUUAAGGCAUUUUAAAAUCAACAUUAAUAAAAGAGGAUCGUAUUUUAAAUCUUUUCAAACUUUCAGCUUUCGACAUAAAGACAUUAAAUAAUCAACUAAGGUACCAAUUUUGGGCGUAUCGAGGGUGCUAACCCUUCCUCGUGCGUAACUGACUCCCGAACCCGUUUUCUAAAUUUCGUAGACCAAAAUCGUUGUUUUGAUAAAAUCAAAUCGUUUAUUAAAAACAACCACUUUUCAAGAUGAUCCGAUCACACCUCAUCAAAAAGGAUUGGUGGCGACUCUCAUUUUCGUUUUUAUUUUUAAAAUCUAAGUUAACCCCAUUUUAUUCAAAAAAUGGUGUCAACAUUCAUCAUAGACAAACUUAUUUGUAUAUAUAUGUAUAAAGCAAGAUUCCAACCUAAAUCUCAGAGAGAGAAGAAAACAAACAUCAAUUAAUCGCUAAGGUACAAUCAUUUUUCCUAUCUUUUUCCUUUGUGUCAUUUCAUGCAAUAAAUUUGUGCUUUGAAACUUGGAUUUGUUAAUGAUUUGUUUUGGGAAUUAUUUACUUGAUUUAGAAGCAGAACCAACAUUAAAUUAUUAUUGUAAUCUGGGCAAAAUAAUCAACACAACAGAACAAAAAAUCCAUACUAUAAAAUGAAAGAGGGAUGCAACCUUUUCAAUUGGAAUUACGUGUUUGAUAUGAAUCGGCUGUGAAUGUGACGACAGAGAUACGACCCCACUCUUAGCAAAGACUAAUGAAAAGCAGUUUUAUAUGUUGUCCUUUCUAUUGCCUGUCGCAUCAACUUCAUGUUCUACUCGAUUAGUUAAAAUGUGGAUUGAUUUCAACCAAGAAAAUAUUUCUUUUCUGUAAUUUGUCUGCAUAGGUUUUUUUUUUUAAUGAAAGUGGUAAUAUUUAUUGUCGUUAUUCGUAUUCGAUGAGAAAAAAACAUCAAAAUGGGUUGUAAAAUUCACUCUUCUUUUCAUGGUUUAACUCCAAUUAUAUAUCUUCUUUUUCUCUUUGAGGUGGUGUUUUGAUUCUUCAAGUAUUUGUAUAGCUUUAGAGGUCCACUUCUGUUAACCCUAAACCGGUCUUGGUUUCAUGGCUUCAACACCGAAAAUGAACCUUUUUUAUCAUUUGGAAUCAAAAUGUUUGGCUGUAGUACGUAAAGAGAUGUAUUAUAGUAUUCACACUUCUCUAAUUUCCUACCAUUACUAUUUCACCUAAAUUUGGCUGCUAAUAGGUGAAGAAUAUUGCAGCUGUGUAUAAAAUAUUGAGCAGACAAAGAUUUAUAUAUAUAGUAAUUUUUAUUCACUGACCGUCUUAAUUGCCAAUUGGUUUAUGCAUGACAUGUGAUGUACAAUUGACUGAUGGAUAUUUAUGAAAUUAUGAAGAAAAAACAAAUUUGUGGACCAGAAUCUGAUAUUGAAAGGGAAUAAUUAUGUAUUAAAUAUUCUUUUAUUAUCUCCUUAGAAUCGUGUCAGCACAAAUUGUGUAGUGUACAUGUGGAAGCAGUCUACUAAACGAAAGCGACCAAAAAACCAAUCAACGAACACCAAAAUAAUGUUAAACUUUAGCCUGCAUUGCAACAAAAGACCAGCAGCAGCAAAUUGAGCAAUGUCAAGCUAUUAUACUGUUCUGAAGUGAAGAAAUGGAGCUGGUUCGAUUGAAGCAACUUAUUUUGGAUGAUUUGUUCCUAUGUAACUUUGUCCAAAUCUUUUAUAUUUUGAUAGCAAAGUUAGUAGGAUAGAUUGAUUGAUUUACUUUGAUGUAAUAGCUGGUAUGCCAGCUUUCUUUUGUAUGCAAGUUGUUAUAUUUUUAGUAUGAUUUUAAUGGGAGCAGUUAACAAGUAGGUAACUGUACAAACCUUUUGUAACUUACAUAUAUUCAAAAUUUUAAUGAAAAUUUAAAUGACUUUCAGUUACAUUUUGCUGAGUUUUUUCAGUUUCAAGUUUCCUUUUCUUUGCUUCAUUCGGUCUCUUAUUUUCUUUGCUGAAAAAUCCAACAAAUGGUAUCAAGAGCUCGUUGUCUUUGAGGGCCUUGGUUGUACACUGUCACUAAGCAAGUUGUGCUUAAAACAAAAGAAGCAGAGGUUGUUUUUUGGUUGCUGUGAAAAUGAGUUUUACACCACCUCCUCCACCUGUCUUUGCUGGAGAAAAUUACAACAUUUGGGCAGUGAAAAUGAGGACAUACCUGCAGGCGCAUGACCUGUGGAAUGUUGUUCUCAAUGACACUGAGCCACCACCACUAAGAGCCAACCCGACCAUAGCUCUGGUUAGGCAGCAUAGUGAAGACUGUGCCAAGAAGUACAAGGCCAUGUCAUGCCUUCAAAGUGGAGUUUCUGAUAUUAUUUUCACGAGGAUAAUGGCCCGUGACACACCAAAGUAGGCCUGGGACAAACUCAAUGAGGAGUUUCAAGGGUCUGAUAAGACCAGGCAACAACAGCUGAUCAACUUGAGAAGGGACUUUGAGAACCUGAAAAUGAAGGACUCGGAAACUAUUAAGCAGUAUGCUGGUAGAAUUAUGGCUACUGUCAACAAUAUAAGAUUGCUUGGGGAAGAAUUUAGUGACCAAAGAGUGGUUGAGAAGGUCAUAACAACCUUGCCAGAGAAGUAUGAAGCAAAAAUUUCUUCUCUGGAAGAUUCAAGGGACUUGUCAACAAUCCCUUUGACAGAGCUUAUAAAUGCUCUUUAUGCUCAAGAGCAAAGAAGGGCAAACAGAAUGGAAGAUCACUAUGAAGGAGCCUUUCAAGCUAGAAGCAAAGAAAGCUCAGGUUCAAACUCGAAUACCAAAGGCAAGAAGCCUUGGAUAGAAAAGAAGAAGAAAGAGCCUAUCAAGAAGAAGUUUCCACCUUAUAUUCAUUGUAAGAAGACUACUCACCUUGAAAAAUACUGCUGGUACAGACCAUACAUUUAAUGUAGACGCUGCAAACAAUUUGGCCACAUUAAAAAGGUCUGUAAAAACAAGUCAAAAGCAUAACCUCAAUAUCAGAAUCAAGCUCAGGCUGCAGAAGAUGUUGAAAUACAAGAGAGCAUGUUUUUUCAGCAUCAUGCUUUGCAAGCUUGAGCAAGGUUGGCAAAAUUUGGCUAAUUGAUAGUGGAUGUACUCACCACAUGGCUUCUGAGAAGAGUAUAUUUAAGGAGCUUGACACCACUUACAAGUCCAACGUCAGAAUUGGCAAUGGUGAGCUGCUAGAGGUAAAAGGCAAAGGCAAGGCUUUGAUAAGCACUAAGUCAGGUAAUAAAACCAUUUCUGAGGUUCUCUACGUACCUGAUAUUGAUCAAAACUUGCUGAGUGUUGGCCAGUUAUUGGAGAAGGGCUACUCUCUGAUUUUUGAAGGCAAGAAUUGUUUGAUCAAAAAUGCUGCCGGUGAAGUGUUAACUACAGUGGCUAUGCAAGACAGAACCUUCAUUGUGGAUGUGAAUCAGCUACAGGAAAGGGCAUAUGCAUCUCAGUCUGAUGAAGCAGGCUUGUGGCAUAAGAGGAUGGGACAUGUAAACUACAACUCUCUUAGUAUGUUGCAGAAGAUGAAUUUGGUCAGUGGCAUGUCUAAAAUUGAGCCAAGGGAGGUUGUGUGUGAGGUCUGUCAGCUAGGCAAAUAGACCAGAUUACCCUUUCCUGUCAACAAAGCAUGGAGAGCACAAGGAAAGCUUCAGCUGGUUCAUACAGACAUCUGUGGACAUAUGAAGACCAUCUCCUUAAAUGGCAGCAGGUACUUUGUACUUUUCAUUGAUGAUUACUCUAGGUUCUGUUGGGUAAAAUUUUUAAAGCAUAAGUCAGAUGUUUAUGAUUCUUUUUGCAAAUUUAAAGCUUUGGUUGAAACUUAAGCUAGCUGAAAACUGAAAUGUUUGAGGUCUGACAAUGGAUCUGAGUAUGUAUCUCAAAUAUUUCAAAAGAUAUGUGAUGAUGCUGGAAUUCAACACCAGUUAACUACUGUGUAUACACCACAGUAAAAUGGUGUCUGUGAGAGAAAAAAAUAGAACAGUCAUUGAUAUGGCCAGGUGUCUUUUGUUUGAGGCUAAAAUGUCUAACAUUUUUUGGGCUGAAGCUAUCAACACAGCUGUUUACCUGCUAAAUAGGUUACCAACUAAUGCAGUCAAGGGUAAAACACCCUUUGAAGCCUGGUUUGGACAAAAAUCAUUUGUCUCUCAUGUGAAAGUGUUUGGUUGUUUGUGUUAUGUAUUGGUACCACUAGAGAAAAGAACCAAGUUGGAUAGGAGGUCUAUGCCAGGGGUGUUUGUUGGCUAUAGCAGUGUAAAAAAGGGAUAUAAAGUCUUUGAUCCACUAACCAAGAAGGUUGUAGUGAGUAGAUAUGUCAAGUUUAGUGAAGCAAAUAGUUGGAAAUAGGAUGGAGUUGAGGCAAGUUUACUUGAUGUAGAUCAGAAUAACAUUGAUAUGCAACAAGCUGAAAUGAAGAAGUGGUUGAAGAUGGCGAUGAUGAACCUGUUCGAGGCACCAGGACUCUAGCAAACAUCUAUGAAAGAUGUUCUGUAACCUUGGUGGAACCUUCAUGCUAUGAUGAAGCUGCAAGAGAAAGAUGUUUGCAAGAGGCUAUGGAAGCUGAACUAAGGAUGAUUAAGAAGAAUGAUACUUGGGAGCUUGUAAAUAGGCCUGAAAACAGAAGGAUUAUUGGUGUCAAAUGGGUCUUUAGAACUAAAAAUAAUGCUGAUGGUUCCCUAAAUAGACACAAAGCCAGAUUGGUUGUAAAAGGGUAUAGUCAGCAGCAAGGGGUUGAUUUUUCUGAAACUUUUACACCUGUUGCAAGGCUAGACACCAUCAGACUGUUGCUUGCUUUGGCAGCUCAAAAGCACUGGAGGGUGCACCAUUUAGAUGUUAAGUCAGCCUUUCUAAAUGGUUUUCUUAAUGAGAAAAUUUUUAUAGAACAGCCUGAAGGUUUUAAGAUCCCUGGUGAAGAACACAAAGUCUACAAGUUGAAGAAUGCCUUGUAUGGCCUAAAACAGGCUCCAAGGGCUUGGUAUGAAAGGAUUGAUGGCUACUUAGCAAGGCUCAGGUUCACAAAAAGUGUUAGUGAGCCUACACUUUAUGUUAAGAAAGAUUUGAAGGAAACUUUGUUAAUUAUUUAUUUAUAUGUUGAUGACCUGUUGGUUAUUGGCUGCAAAAAUGAGCUUAUUGUGGACUUCAAGAAAUAGACGCAAGAAGUCUUUGAAAUGACUGAUCUUGGUCUAAUGACCUACUUUCUUGGUAUGGAAAUAAAACAAGUGAUGGUAUCUUCAUAAGUUAGCAAACAUUUGCAUCCAAGGUGCUGGAGAAAUUUUGUAUGUCGAAUUGCAAAUCUGUUACCACACCUGUUGCAUUGGGAGAGAAGUUGUCAAGCAUCAGUGAGCAUGAUCGAGUGGAUGAAAAAGCCUUUAGAAGCCUAAUUGGUUGCUUACUUUAUUUGACAGCAACAAGACUAGACAUUGUCUAUGCUGUCAGUUUUCUUUCGAGGUUUAUGCAUUGUUGUAAUGUGGCACAUUUAAAGGCAGCAAAAAGGGUGUUAAGAUAUGUCAAAGGAACCAUCAAUUCUGGUGUGAAGUUUUGGAAGGCAAAGGAGCUAAAACUUGCUGGCUACUCUGAUAGUGAUUAGGCAGGGUCAGUUGAUGACAUGAAGAGCACAUCAGGUUACUUCUUUACUCUAGGCUCGAGUGUUUUUAGCUGGAGUUCAAAGAAGCAAAAAGCUGUUGCUCAAUCCAUAGUAGAGGCAGAGUACACUUCAGCUGCAGCAGCAGUUAAUCAAGCCAUUUGGCUUAGAAAAAUUUUAUGUGAUUUGAAUGAAGAGCAAGCUCAGCCUACUGAAAUCAAAGUUGAUAAUCAAUCAGCUGUGACAAUAGCCAAAAAUCUAGUCUUCCAUGGAAAGACUAAACAUUUCAAAUUUAAAUUUCAUUUUAUUAGAGAAGUUGAGCAAUCGAAGGAGGUCAGUCUAGUCCAUUGCAGUUCAGAAACUCAAUUGGCUGACAUUCUGACUAAGCCAUUAGGAGCUAACAGGUUUGAUGUCUUGAAAGAAAAGAUUGGUGUUUGUUGCAUACAGUCUAAGGAGGAGUUUUGAACUUUGGCCUACAUUGCAACAAAAGACCAGCAGCAGCAAAUUGAGCAAUGUCAAGCUGUUAUAUUGUUUUGAAGUGAAGAAAUGGAGCUGGUUCGAUUGAAGCAACUUAUUUUGGAUGAUUUGUUCCUAUGUAACUUUGUCCAAAUCUUUUGUAUUUUGAUAGCAAAGUUAGUAGGAUAGAUUGAUUGAUUUAUGUUGAUAUAAUAGCUGGUAUGCCAACUUUCUUUUGUAUGCAAGUUGUAAUAUUUUUAGUAUGAUUUUAAUGGGAGUAGUUAACAAGUAGGUAACUGUACAAACCUUUUGUAACUUACAUAUAUUCAAAAUUUUAAUGAAAAUUUACAUGACUUUCAGUUACAUUUUGCUGAGUUUUUUCAGUUUCAAGUUUCCUUUUCUUUGCUUCAUUCGGUCUCUUAUUUUUUUUGCUGAAAAAUCCAACAAAUAAGAUGCAAUAAAUCGGUGGAGCGUGGGAGUUUCUUUGAUGGCAUCUUGUAUGGAAUAGCUGAAGUGAAUGAGAGUAGCGUUUGUUUCUGUUAGAAUUGUGUGACCCAAAUUCUAAGAGAUUGCUUGCAAGUCAAGUUAAACAAAAAUAUAUUUUCUUUCUAGAAGAUUUAGUAUUUAUUAGUAUAAUAUAUUUAACAUUUAUUAGUAUAGUUUAUUUGACUUACUAAUUUAGCCUAUAAAUAGGCUCUUUUACAAUCUUAGAAAUAUGAUACCCAUUAGUUUAGAACUCAUAACACAUUCAGAGAAUUUUGUGUUUACAUUUUGAGGGUUCUUUGUUUUUCGGGUUUUCGGGGUUUAGCUUUAUCUCCAUCUUUUGUACUCUUCAUUCUUUUGCCAUUAUAGUAAAAUUAUCUUUGCCUGUGGUUUUUUAAUCCUCUUUGGAGGGGUUUUUCCCGUUAAAUUUGUGUUUCAUCUUCUUAAUUUUUCUGCUAUUUUUACUUGUUCGUUGCUUAAUCGGGACAAUCCUAACAAGUGGUAUCAGAGUUAGUUCAAUUUUCAUAGAUCAGCUCAUUCAGAGAUGGCAGCAACAAGGUUUGAAAUUGAGAAGUUCGAUGGUAAGACAAAUUUCAAUUUAUGGCAAGUUCAGAUAAUGACAAUUCUAGUUCAAAACGGCUUGAAAAAGGUUGUUACAGGAAAAAAACCUGAGAAUCUAAAUCAAACAGGAUGGAAGAGCUUAAUGAAAAGACAUUGUUUGCAAUCUAGUUGUGCCUUGCGAAUACAGUAUUGCAGGAGGUGUUGAUGGAGAAGACCUCAUUCGCCUUGUGGAAAAGGUUAGAAACUCUUUAUGCGACUAAGUCUCUAGCUAACCGUUUAGUGUUGAAACAACGUCUAUUUACGUUUAGCAUGAACGAAGGUGAGCUUCUUAAAGAUCACAUCAGUCAUUUCAUUACUCUUUUAAAUGAUUUAAAGAACAUUGAGGUUCAGAUUGACGAUGAAGAUCAAGCUAUGCUAUUAUUGUGCUCUUUACCCUCUUCAUACAAGUCUUUCAGGGAGACCCUGAUUUAUAGUAGAGACAAACUCUCGUUCGAAGAUGUGAAGGGUUAUUUGUUGAGUAGAGACAAACUCGACAAUGAGUUUGGUUUGAAUAGCAAAGUAGAUAGACAAACUUCCGUUUUGGUAGCAUCAAAGAAACGAGACAAAAGGUGUCGCUAUUGUAAAAAGUUAGGUCACGUCAAAGCAUAUUGUUUUAAACUGCGAAAUAAAAGAGCUGCUGAGAGUAACGAGGAAGAUGUAGUUGGUGCUAAUUUGGUCGAUGAAGGUGGUGAUGAUUUCUUGUUAGUGUCAACGAGCGACAACUCCAAGCUUAAGUCUGAGUGGAUCCUAGAUUCAGGAUGUUCUUUUCACAUGUGUCCCAAUAGAGAAUGGUUCUCCACAUACAGUUCAGUUGAAAGUGGAGUUGUGCACAUGAGAAACGAUUCAUCUAGUAAGAUAAUUGGUAUUGGUACUGUUAAAAUUAGGAUACACGAUGGGACGAUUAUAACACUCUCAGAUGUAAGGUAUGUACCUGAUUUACGAAAGAAUUUCAUCUCCUUGAGUAUUUUAGACUUGAAAGGAUGCAAAAUGAACAUCGAGUCGAGCGACAUUAAAGUAUCUCGUGGAGCUCUCGUUUUGUUGAAAGGUAAAAGAACUGGCAGUCUUUAUAUUCUGGAAGGUUUUACAGUGACCGGUGAAAUCGGACGUCCCUCGUCCGUUACGGAGUCAAAGUCAACUCGUUUGGAGCAGAGGCAACAUGGUCAUAGGAGGGAAAAAGGUAUGACCGUUUCGUUGAAGAGAGGUUCUCUUUUGGAUGCAGGUUUUAAAAAGUUAGGGCACUGUGUUCGUGAAAAUCAGACCCGGGUUAGUUUUGAUUUGGCAGUGCACAAGUCGAAGGCUAGAAGUCUUCCAGCUUCUAAGUAUAGAUUCGACUCAGUUAAUUCCCUGCAUAGUUCAAGAUAGGCCCGUGGCUGGUUUUGGCAAAGAUGGCGUUGAAAGAAUUCGUGUCAAGGUGGAGAUUGUUAGAGUUGUGUGACCUAAAUUCUAAGAGAUUGCUUUCAAGUCAAGUUAAACAAAAAUAUAUUUUCUUUCUAGAAGAUUUAGUAUUUAUUAGUAUAAUAUGCAUUUAUUAGUAUAGUUUAUUUGACUUACUAAUUUAGCCUAUAAAUAGGCUCUUUUACAAUCUUAGAAAUAUGAUACCCAUUAGAUUAGAACUCAUAACACAUUCAGAGAAUUUUGUGUUUACGUUUUGAAGGUUCUUUGUUUUUCGGGUUUUCGGGGUUUAGCUUUAUCUCCAUCUUUUAUACUCUUCAUUUUUUUGCCAUUAUAGUAAAAUUAUCUUUGCCCGUGGUUUUUUUAUCCUCUUUGGAGGGGUUUUUCCCGUUAAAUUUGUGUCUUCAUCUUCUUAAUUUCUUCUGCUAUUUUUACUUGUUCGUUGCUUAAUCAGGACAAUCCUAACAGUUUCACUUCAUCCACUCAAGUGUUUUUGGCAAAACUCAUUCAACUCUGAACUAUUGUACAGUGUGAUUUGCCGACAGCUAUUCAACUAUGGCUUCCUUCAGGACCUUACUUGGUACACCCUUAUUUGCUCGUUUUCAUUCACCUGUUUGAUUAAUACUUUUUCAUCUUGCAUUUUAUGUGAUUAUGAAUAUUGCAGCUGUGUAUAAAAUAUUGAGCAGACAAAGAUUUAUAUAGCAGUAUUUUUAUUCACUGACCGUCUUAAUUGCCAAUUGGUUUAUGCAUGACAUGUGAUGUACAAUUGACUGAUGGAUAUUUAUGAAAUUAUGAAGAAAAAACAAAUUUGUGGACAAGAAUCUGAUAUUGAAAGGGAAUAAUUAUGUAUUAAAUAUUCUUUUAUUAUCUCCUUACAACCGUGUCUGCACAAAUUGUGUAGUGUACAUGUGGAAGCAGUCAACGAACACCAAAAUAAGAGUGUUGAAGUUAGUUCCCAUGCAACAAGCUGGACUUCAAAGGUGGCCAUGCACGAGAAGGGUCAGCAAGCAGUCGAGCCUAACUGUGCAGCAACUGAAGCUUAAAGUUGCUGUUUUGUUUGUUACAUUUAGUUGUUUUUAAUCCUUUUGUAAUGUAGUUCAUUUUGAACUUAGUAGGUAAAUGUUUUGAUGUUGAUUGACUUAAAAAUCAGCAAAGCAACAUGUACAAGUUAAUCUUCCAAGUUUCAAUGCAAAUUAGUGGUGUUAGGUAGUUGAUUAGGUGAUAACUUGUUUAUUGUUCAAGUUGACUGAUAUAUGUAAUGGCUUAAUGCCUUAUCUUUGUUGUUAAUGAAAAAUUCAGCUUGAAUCUCAUUAAAAACUCUCUCUUUCUUUUCUGUUUUUCCACUUGCAAAUCAUUUUUUGCUUUUGUUUCUUCUCCAAGCCACGAGGCUUGCUGCUCAAGCAAGGCUAAACCAGCUUGCUACUGCCUUUAACACCAACAAAGAGGCAAUAAAUCGGUGGAGCGUGGGAGUUUCUUUGAUGGCAUCUUGUAUGGAAUAGCAGAAGUGAAUGAGAGUAGGGUUUGUUUCACUUCAUCCACUCAAGUGUUUUUGGCAAAACUCAUUCAACUCUGAACUAUUGUACAGUGUGAUUUGCCGACAUCUAUUCAACUAUGGCUUCCUUCAGGACCUUACUUGGUACACCCUUAUUUGCUCGUUUUCAUUCACCUGUUUGAUUAAUACUUUUUCAUCUUGCAUGAAUAUAUAUCGCGUUUUAUGUGAUUUUGAUUAAGCUGUUCUUAAAACAAUCAGUGAUUAUUGAAAAGACUAGUGUAAGGCAACGUAAUGGACUGACUUUUGUAAUGCAGACAAUAUGUUUGUAAUUAUGAAGAAAAAACAAAUUUGUGGACGAGAAUCUGAUAUUGAAAGUGUUGGAACAAAGAGACAAUAACAGGCUGUUUUGUAUCUUGCUUGAAUAGCAAGCCUCGAGCCUUGGUGAAGAAACAAACUCAGAAGCAAAAACAGAAAAUGAAACUAGCUAGUGAAUAACAGAAAAGAGAGAAGAAGAUUGAAUGAAAAAUGAGCUGAUAUUUUUCAUUAACACUCUAACAAGGCAUUAAGCCAUUACAUAUUUCAAUCAACAAGUAAAACAAACAAGUGAUCACCUAAUCAACUACCUAACUCCACUAAUUUGCAUUGAAACUUACAAGAUUAGCUUGUACAACUUGCNNNNNNNNNNNNNNNNNNNNNNNNNNNNNNNNNNNNNNNNNNNNNNNNNNNNNNNNNNNNNNNNNNNNNNNNNNNNNNNNNNNNNNNNNNNNNNNNNNNNNNNNNNNNNNNNNNNNNNNNNNNNNNNNNNNNNNNNNNNNNNNNNNNNNNNUGCUAUUUCUUCGAGCAUGACCACCUUUGCAUCUCCUGCAUGGCCACCUUUGCAUGGGAACUAAACUUAACACUCCUCCUUAGUUUCCAUGCUAGUAACACCUAAUUCCCUUUUGAACUUAACAAAUUUAGACACAUUGAGUGCCUUUGUGAAGAUAUCAGCAAUUUGCACUUCUGAAUUGCAAUGAAUCAGCUCGAUUUCAUGAGCUUGUUCCAUCUCCCUUAUAACAUGCAACUUAAUAUUGAAGUGCUUGGUUCUACCAUGAAAAAUGGGAUUUUUUGCAAUUGCAACAGCAGAUUUGUUGUCACAAUAAAUCUCUGUUGCCUCUUUUUGGUUUUGGUUUAAAUCAGCCAAGAUUUUUCUAAGCCAUAUGGCUUGAUUCACAGCAGAUGCAGCAGCAACAUAUUCAGCUUCUGCUGUUGAUUGUGCCACCUGACUUUGUUUCUUAGAACUCCAGCAAAACAUGCCUGAGCCAAGACUAAAUGCAUAUCCGGAUGUGCUCCUCAUGUCAUCACUCGAUCCAGCCCAGUCACUAUCAACAUAGCCUAUCAGCUUCAUGUUUUCAGCCCUUUUGAACAAUACACCAUGAUCAAUGGUGCCUUUGAUGUAUCUUAGCACUCUUUUAGCUGCUUGAAAGUGCUGAUCAUUGUAGCAAUUCAUGUAUCUCGAUAGCACACUAACAGCAAACAUGAUAUCGGGUCUUGUUGCAGUCAAAUACAACAGACUACCAAUGAGACUCUUGUACAUAGUCUCGCAAAUUGGUUCACCACUCCCUUGCCUCGAAAGCUUCACUCCAACAGCCAUUGGUGUGCUUGUUGGCUUGCAGUUCUUCAUAGAGAACUUAUCCAGGAUCUUCAUAGUAAAAGAACUCUGACUAAGAAAGAUUCCCUUUUCUGUUUGCUUCACUUCCAUUCCAAGGAAGUAGUUCAUUCUGCCUAAAUCAGACAUUUCAAACAUUUCCAUCAUUUUUCUUUUGAAAUCUUCCAGCAUUCUUCUAUCUCCUCCAGUUACCAAUAAAUCAUCAACAUAGAGUGACAGGAUAAGCUGAGUUUCAGCUUGGUUCUUCUUCACAUACAGUGUUGGUUCACUGGGACUUCUCUCAAAUUCCAAACUGAGCAAGUAAGAGUCAAUUCGAGCAUACCAGGCUCGAGGAGCCUGUUUCAGGCCAUAUAAAGCCUUUUUCAGUCUGUACACCAUGUGUUCUUUGCCAGUGAUCACAAAUCCUUGAGGCUGCUCGAUGUAGAUCUCUUCUUCCAGGAAACCAUUGAGAAAUGCAGACUUAACAUCAAGCUGAUGAAUGAUCCACUGAUGUUGAGCAGCCAAGGCAACUAUCAUUCUAACUGUGUCAAGCCUGGCUACUGGUGCAAAUGUCUGCAGGUAGUCCAGACCAUACCUUUGGCUAAAUCCUUUGACAACAAGCCUGGCUUUUAGCUUGUUCAGACUGCCAUCUGCAUUCUGUUUUACUCGAUAGACCCAUUUUACUCCAAUGGUCUUCUUUCCAGCAGGUUUAUCAACUAGCUCCCAUGUCUGGUUCUUCACAAUCAUGUUGAUUUCAUUGACCAUAGCUAGUUUCCAGCCUUCAUCUGCCUCAGCCUCUUCAAAACUGCUAGGUUCUGCUAUUGCAACCUGUGCCCUUUCAUAAAUAUCAUCUAGGGGCCUUGUGCCUCUCACAGGCACAUCAUCAACAUCCAUUUCAGGUCCUAGCUGCUCAAGUUCAGCUUGAUUAGGCACUAGGUCUUCUGAAACUGCUUCUGGCUCAUUUUUCUUCCAAUUCCAGCAGGCUUUUUCAUCAAAGAUGACAUCUCUGCUCACCUGGACUUUGUUUGUCAAGGGAUCCAGAACCCUGUAGCCCUUCUUGACUGAGCUGUAGCCUACUAGAACACCUGGUUGAGCCCUUUUAGAGAGCUUGUCUCUCUUUGCUGCUGGUAUUUGUGCAUAACACAGGCAACCAAACACCUUCAGAUGUGCCAAGGAAGGCUUGAAACUGAACCAAGCCUCGAAAGGUGUCUCGGAUGCAAAAGCUUUGGUAGGAAGCCUGUUCUGAAGGUAAACAGCAGUGUUUACUGCCUCAGCCCACAUGGUUUUGGGCAGUUUCUUUUCAAACAGGAGACAUCUGGCCAUAUCCAUCAGGCUUCUGUUCUUUCUUUCAGCUACCCCAUUCUGCUGAGGUGUGUAGACAUUUGUAAGCUGAUGUUUGAUACCAGCAUCAUUGCAAAUGGCUUGAAACUGAGCUGAAGUGUACUCAGUGCCAUUGUCUGUCCUUAUCGAUUUCAGCUUGCAACCUGUUUCUGUCUCUUCAGCAGUUUUAAACUUCACAAACACUUGAGCUACCUCAGACUUGUGUUUUAAGAAGAAAAUCCAGCAAAACCUUGUAAGAUCAUCAAUGAAGAGGAUGAAAUACCUGUUUUUGCUGAGUGAUUCAGUCCUCAUCGGGCCACAUACAUCAGAGUGCACCAGCUGCAGUCUUUCAGUAGCUCUCCAAGCUGAAUUUGUAGGAAAUGGCAGUCUUGCCUGUUUCCCCAUCUGGCAAACUUCACAUACAUCAUCAUGCUCCACUGAGCUGGUGAAGUUCUCUGCCAAACCCUCUUUGGCCAUUCGAGCCAUUGAUCUGAAGUUGGCAUGUCCAAGCCUUUGAUGCCAAAGCUUGGAGUCAUCAACAGAGGCUGUGUAUGCUGAGUUUGAGUCAUUUGCCCAGUGAACCUCAAAGCAUUUAUCAGUCAUUGUGACUGUCAUAAGGCUUGAUCCACUUGGAUCAGUAAUGUGGCAUUGUUUGUCCUUGAACAUAACAGAAUAACCUUUCUCGAGCAGUUGAGCUAUGCUGAGAAGGUUUCUGUCAAUCUCUGGCACCAACAGCACAUUUGGAAUGAUCUUGUUGCCUGUGGGAGUACAUAUCAGCACUUCUCCUCUUCCUUCAGUCCUUAUAAACUGACCAUUUCCAACCUUGACCUUGGUUUUAUAACUUCUGUCCAAGGUUUUAAACAAGGAGGCAUCUGGUGACAUGUGGUUAGUGCAACCACUGUCCAACAACCAGCCUUUUGAGCAUUUCUUCUCAACAGCUAAGCAGGAAACAGCAAAGACCUGUUCUUCUUGGUCACUACUGUCCUCAGCUACUCGAGCUUCAACCUUUGACUGCUGAAAUUGAUUCUGCCUUGGCUUACUCCUGUUUUUACAGACCCUUUCAACAUGGCCCUUCUUCUUGCAGUGUUGGCAUACUGCAUCUGGCCUAAACCAGCAUCUAUCUUCUGGAUGACCUGGCCUCUUGCAAUGUCUGCAGGGCUGGUCAUUACUCCUUGCAGUAUCAGCCUUAGGCCUGUUUUUCCAAGGCCUUUUGCCUCUUAGAGCAUUGAAGCUCGAGGCUUCUCUGGCCUUGGCAUUGAAUGCACCUUCCUGGUGAUCUUCAGCUCUGCUAGCUCUCCUUUGUUCCUGAGCAUAGAAAGUGUUGAUUAGCUCAGUCAAAGAGAUGGUAGCAAGGUCUCUUGAGUCCUCUAAGGAGGAUAUCUUGGCCUCAUAUCUCUCAGGCAAAGUGGAGAGGACCUUUUCCACAAUUCUUGCCUCAUCAAAGUGCUCACCAAGGAGCCUUAUACUGUUAACCACUGCUAUGAUUCUGUCUGCAUACUGCUUCACUGUUUCUUCUUCCUUCAUCUUUAGAUUCUCGAAAUCCCUUCUCAAAUUUAAUAGUUGUUGUUGCCUUGUUCUCUCAGUGCCUUGAAACUCCUCCUUAAGCUUAUCCCAGGCCUGUUUUGGAGUCUCACAGGCCAUAAUUCUAGUGAAGAUGACAUCUGAUACACAGUUCUGGAUGCAGGACAUGGCUUUAUGCCUUUUGGUCCUCUCAUCAGCAUGCUGCCUUAUCUGAGCUACUGUGGGAUUAGCCCUCAGUGGUGCUGGCUCAGCAUCUGUGUUAACAACUUCCCACAGAUCAAAGGCCUGCAGGUAAGUCUUCAUCUUGACCAGCCAUAUGUGGAAGCCAUCUCCAUUGAAGACUGGUGGGGCUGCUGGUGAAAAACUUGAGGAAGACAUUCAGCUUUCUUAGUUUAAUACAACAGGUCCACUAAGAAUGAAGCUCUAGAUACCAAUUGUUGGAACAAAGAGACAAUAACAGGCUGUUUUGUAUCUUGCUUGAAUAGCAAGCCUCGAGCCUUGGUGAAGAAACAAACUCAGAAGCAAAAACAGAAAAUGAAACUAGCUAGUGAAUAACAGAAAAGAGAGAAGAAGAUUGAAUGAAAAAUGAGCUGAUAUUUUUCAUUAACACUCUAACAAGGCAUUAAGCCAUUACAUAUUUCAGUCAACAAGUAAAACAAACAAGUGAUCACCUAAUCAACUACCUAACUCCACUAAUUUGCAUUGAAACUUACAAGAUUAGCUUGUACAACUUGCAUUGCUGACUUUUCAGUCAAUCAAUAUCAAAACAUUUACCUAUUUAGUUCAACAUGAACUAGAUUACAAAACAAUCAAAAUGGAACUAAAAACAGCAAGUGGAUUGGCAGCUUCAAACUUCAGUUGCUGCACACCAUGGCAUCACUGCUUGCUGCUAUUUCUUCGAGCAUGACCACCUUUGCAUCUCCUGCAUGGCCACCUUUGCAUGGGAACUAAACUUAACAGAAAGGGAAUAAUUAUGUAUUAAAUAUUCUUUUAUUAUCUCCUUACAGCGUAUCUGCACAAAUUGUGUAGUGUACAUGUGGAAGCAGUCUACUAAACGAAAGCGACCAAAAAACCAAUCAGCGAACACCAAAAUAAGAGGCAAUAAAUCGGUGGAGCGUGGGAGUUUCUUUGAUGGCAUCUUGUAUGGAAUAGCUGAAGUGAAUGAGAGUAGCGUUUGUUUCACUUCAUCCACUCAAGUGUUUUUGGCAAAACUCAUUCAACUCUGAACUAUUGUACAGUGUGAUUUGCCGACAGCUAUUCAACUAUGGCUUCCUUCAGGACCUUACUUGGUACACCCUUAUUUGCUCGUUUUCAUUCACCUGUUUGAUUAAUACUUUUUCAUCUUGCAUGAAUAUAUAUCGCGUUUUAUGUGAUUUUGAUUAAGAUGUUCUUAAAACCAUCAGUGAUUAUUGAAAAGACUAGUGUAAGGCAACGUAAUGGACUGACUUUUGUAAUGCAGACAAUAUGUUUGUAAUCUAUAUCAGUGUCUUCCUGUUGGACUGACUUUUGUUAUUAUGCUAAUUCUAAAUCUUGUGAUGGAUAUGCAGGGGGGUUCACUUUAAUUUGUGAAGGAAAACUUGAUUUUGGUUCUUUUUGCAUUCAACGAACCAUCAUAGAUGUCAUAAACCUGGUGUUCCUCUUUGUUUUCUAUCUACUUUUGUUUGUAUGUUCGGUAAGAAAACUGCAACGUAGUGUUGUUAACAAAAGGGAUAGGAUCUCCAUUGUUGUUUCCAUCUGUUGUGCUCUUAUUAGUAUAUCGUAUCUUAGUGUUGGUUUAUGGAAUCUAAUAGCAAGAAAUGGUGAAUUUAAUGGCUUGAGCUGGUUGAUUGAGCUUGUAAGAGGAUUAAUUUGGAUUUCGUUAUCAGUUUCAUUGCUUGUUCAUGCAUCACAACCAGUGAAAAUUUUCAUCUCCGCGUGGUGGGUGUCGUUCGCAUUAUUGGUUUCGGUUCUUCAUAUUGAAAUUUUAUUUAGAACACACCGGAUUGAAAUAUUCGACGUUCUUCCAUGGCCUGUGAACAUCUUGAUGCUGUUUUGUGCUUUUAGAAACUUCAUUGAUUUGACUAAGGAACAUGAGAGUCUUUCAGAACCUCUAUUAGAGGAAAAGGAAGAAACAUACCAGAUAGAAGUUUGUGAGGCCCAAUUUCUUUAGCAAAUUGUCAUUUUCUUGGAUUAAUCCUUUGCUUUCCAGGGGUUAUUUGAGACCCUUAGCUCUUGAAGACAUCCCUUCUAUUAGUGCAGAAGAUGAAUCCAGUUUGGCAUACCAAAAGUUUGCUAAUGCAUGGGAGACACUAAUAAGAGAGAAAAGCUCAAUUGAUAGGCGAAACUUGGUUCUUCGGGCCUUAACAAAAGUGUACUUUAAGGAAAAUAUAGUUAUAGCAGUUUGUGCAAUUCUUAGGACGAUUUCUGUCGUAGCACUUCCAUUAUUGCUCUAUGCCUUUGUAAAUUAUUCGAACCAGGAAGAGGAAAACCUGCAAAAGGGUCUUGUUUUACUAGGAUUCCUUAUUGUUUUGAAGGUUGUCGAGUCAUUGUCGCAGAGGUAUUGGUAUUAUGCUUCGAGGAGGUGUGGAAUGAGGAUGCGAUCGGCAUUAAUGGUGGCAGUCUAUCAGAAGCAGCUGAAGCUUUCGAGUUUAGGAAGGCGGAGACAUUCGACUGGGGAAAUUGUGAAUUACAUAGCAGUAGAUGCCUAUAGAAUGGGGGAGUUUCCAUGGUGGUUUCAUUCGACUUGGAGUCUUGUGUUGCAGCUUUUCAUGUCUAUGGGAGUGCUUUUCUCAGUUGUUGGUCUCGGUGCUAUACCCGGUAUAGUCCCUCUUGUCAUAUGUGGAUUCCUUAAUAUGCCAGUUGCGAAGAUCAUACAAAAAUGCCAAUCUGAAGUCAUGAUCUCACAAGAUGAGAGAUUGAGAGCCAUUUCUGAGAUCUUAAACAGCAUGAAGAUCAUCAAGUUGCAGUCCUGGGAGGAUAAAUUCAAGAGCUUGAUCAAGUCCUUACGUGGCAAGGAGUUCAAAUGGCUUUCUAAACAGCAGUUUUUGAGGCCUUACGGUACUGUCUUGUAUUGGAUCUCUCCAACUAUUGUUUCUUCAGUUGUCUUCUUGGGAUGUGCUCUAUUUGGGAGUGCCCCAUUGAAUGCUGGAACCAUUUUUACAGUUCUUGCAACUCUAAGAAGCAUGGCAGAACCUGUUAGAAUGUUACCCGAGGCACUUUCGAUUCCUAUACAAGUCAAAGUUUCUUUUGACAGAAUCAACACUUUUCUUCUUGAUGAUGAACUUAGGAAUGAUGAAGUAAGGGGAUUUCCCCUGCAGAAUUCUGAUAAAAUUGUGACGGUAGAAGCAGGAAAUUUCAGUUGGGUUCCUGAAAUUGCAAUUCCAACACUUAGAAAUGUGGAGUUGGAAAUAAAAAGAGGGCAGAAGAUAGCUGUUUGUGGACCGGUCGGGGCUGGAAAAUCCUCAAUCUUGUAUGCAAUGCUGGGAGAGAUACCGAAACUUUCAGGAACGGUGAGUUGCAAAACAAGUAUUCCUACAUGCACAUGCAUUAAGCAUUAUGUCUUCUUGUCACUGGUUAUAGUUCUUUUUCCCUUAAUGCUUGUUUUAGGUUAGCGUGUUUGGAUCCAUUGCCUAUGUUUCUCAAGUUUCAUGGAUCCAGAGUGGGACAAUUCGUGACAACAUACUCUAUGGAAAGCCGAUGGAUGCAGACAAAUAUGACAAGGCCAUUAACGCUUGUGCUCUGGAUAAAGAUAUCAAUACUUUUGAUCAUGGUGACCUCACGGAAAUAGGUCAAAGAGGGAUUAACAUGAGUGGAGGGCAGAAGCAAAGGAUUCAACUCGCUCGAGCGAUCUAUAAUGAUGCCGACAUCUAUCUUCUUGAUGACCCUUUCAGUGCCGUUGAUGCACAUACAGCUUCUGUUUUGUUCAAUGUGAGAAAGCUUCAUUUCAGUAUAGAACUCUGGUGUAUAAUACUAUUAUUUAUUUUCUUUGCAGUAUGAUAAAAGUUAGCUUUUUAUGAUUGCAGGAUUGUGUUAUGACUGCUCUAGCGAAGAAAACUGUUGUCCUGGCAACUCAUCAAGUAGAGUUUCUCUCAGAAGUUGAUAGAAUUUUGGUAAACACGAAGUUCGAAUUUAUGUUCAUAAUUUAUUUAUCCAUCCAUGUGUUUUUCUGGUUCGUCAGAAGGAUAAUUUCUCCCGUUUUUUCCUUAGGUUAUGGAUGGUGGACAAAUUACUCAAUCAGGAAGCUAUGAAGAGCUAUUGAUGGCUGGGACAGCAUUUGAGCAGCUUGUGAAUGCUCAUAGAGAUUCCAUAACAGCAUUAGGUUCUUUGAAUGGUCAAGGUGAAGGAGAAUCAAGAGGGAUAGCUCCCGUGAUGUUUAACGGAUGUUCUCCAACUAAACAUAACAGUGAAGGGGAGAUCUCGGUGAAGGGUCCGCCUGGAAUACAAUUAACACAAGAUGAAGAAGUGGAGAUCGGCGAUGUUGGAUGGAAGCCAUUCAUGGAUUAUGUUUCUAUCUCAAAAGGAUCCGUUUAUCUAUCUUUAAGCAUUUUAACUCAGCUUACCUUUGUUGUUCUUCAGGCCACUUCGACCUAUUGGCUGGCAUUUGCCAUUCAAAUUCCUAACAUGACCAACAGCAUGUUGAUAGGAGUUUACACCGGAGUUGCCACCCUUAGUGCAGUUUUUGUGUUUUUUAGAUCCCUUUAUGCUGCUUAUCUAGGAUUAAAAGCUUCUAAAGCCUUCCACUCUGGUCUCACCAAUGCCAUUUUCAAAGCUCCAAUGCUUUUUUUCGAUUCUACUCCUGUUGGCAGGAUUCUAACCCGAGUAAGAUCAAAUUUACCAAUAAGCAAGGAGUUUUUUUUUUCUUCUUUUUUUUUUUUUUUUUUUGCUUGGCAAUGAGCUAGGAGUUAAUGUAAUGUUUCACGUACCGUUUGAGUCUUUUCCCAAGGUACUAAAACAUGUUUUAUUUAAACUCUUGCAGGCUUCAUCAGAUAUGAGUAUUCUUGAUUUCGACAUUCCAUUUGCCUUUGUCUUUGUGGCAGCCGGUGUAACUGAAGUCUUAGCAACAAUCGGAAUCAUGGCCUUUAUUACAUGGCAAGUUCUCAUUGUCGCGAUUCUUGCUAUGGUAGGAGUAAAGUACAUUCAGGUGGAUGCAUUUUCUUUUCACUUGCUUUGCUCAAAUCUCAUUUGCAACCAAGUUGAAAGGGCUAAAAUCUCUGUGUCAUCAUACUGCAGGGGUAUUAUAUGUCCUCUGCAAGGGAGCUCAUAAGAAUUAAUGGAACGACUAAAGCUCCCGUUAUUAAUUAUGCAGCCGAGACAUCGCUUGGAGUGGUCACCAUAAGAGCUUUUAACAUGGUGGAUAUGUUCUUUAGAAAUAACCUGAAGCUUGUUGACACAGAUGCCACACUUUUCUUUCUUUCUAAUGCAGCCAUGGAAUGGCUAGUUCUACGGAUUGAAACACUUCAAAACCUUACUCUAUUCACUGCUGCAUUUUUCCUGCUUCUGCUUCCCAAAAACCAAGUCACCCCCG